CACCGAGUCCCGGGCCGAGUAAUGUUCGUGCUGAGUUUCUUGCAUAUGUCACCGAUUCCCUCACUAGAGGGCCGGGUAUGUAUAUUAUAUAUAUGAUUGGUGAUGAGGAUGGUUAUGAUGAUGAUGAUGACGGAGAUGAUGUGAUGACUAUUUCACCGAGUCCCUCACUAGAGGGCCGGGUACGUAUGAUGUAUAUAUAUAAUGAUUAUUUUGCCGAGUCCCUUACUAGGGACGCCGGGCACCUUAUAUGUUAAAGAUAUGCAUGAUUUUCACUUAAAAGGUACAUGUGUAGUGAUAUCUUGUUUCGACUUAUCAUGUUGGUAUCCUGUCAUCUUUACCUUAUGCUUUACAUACUUAGUACAUUCCCCGUACUGACCCCCUUUCCUCGGGGGGCUGCGUUUCAUGCCCGCAGGUGUAGACGCACAGUUCGAUGAUCCUCCCGCCUAGGAUAUCUUCUCUGCUGAUUGGGCGAGCUCCAUUGUUCCGGAGCCCAGUCGUUUUGGUACAUAACUUUCUGUGUAGUCUUUUGCUUGUCUAUGGGUAUGGCGGGACCCAGUCCCGUCGAGUUUCACUGCUAUACUCUUAGAGGUCUGUAGACAUUAUGUGGGUUGCAUAUAUAUGUUUUGGAGAAUGUUCUGGACAUGGUUUGUUUUGGAUGUCCGCUUGUAUAGGGCCAGCCUUGUCGGCUGCAUACAUCAUUGUGUAUUGUGUAGUGGCAGCCUUGUCGACUUGCGUAUGCUAUUAUGCUUUGGAUAGUGGCGGCCUUGUCGGCUCGCGUAUGUUGUUACGGUUGAAUGGUUAUGACUCCUUAUGAGACAGAUCCACUUUAUAUAUAUAUGACGUUAGGGUUGGCUUGAUUUGAUUAAAUUCCAUAUUAUCUUAGUUUCAGUUGGUUAUACUUAACAGAUUUGUAUGUGAGUGUCCAAAACAGGCACUAGUCACGGCCCAUCGGGUUGGGUCGUGACAGGAUCAGCAUAACUAACUCACUUUUAUCGCAAUAUCACGGUGAACAAUUGGAAUGCAAAAGCAAUGUGUGCAAGGUGCUUGAUGAAUCGUCUGAUAUGCACAAACAUGCAAAUUCUCUCGGUAAAUCCAGCAAGCCUGUUGAGCUUUUCAUUCCCCCCUAAUGAUAUGGUAAAUUCUGUCUCCAAAUUUUUUGUGAUACAUAGAUGUGCUGAUUAUGUUAAAAAGGAAGACACGAAGGAUGAUAAGAGGAAAUUUUUACCAUCAGAAACGAACCUAUAGAAUUUGUUAUUGAAAUACAUGUAAACCUUCAUUCUGGAAUAAUUUUAUAGUAUCUAUUUCCUAUGACCUAUCCAUUUUUGAUAUUCACAAAGCUUUGGAUGAUCUUUGGAAUAAAUUAUUCACUAUACACUACAAAAAAUUCUACCCUGUUUGGCUUAUUCAGCGUUGGAAGUAGAUCCAUUCUAUUCCUUCCACUUUCAGUUAUUCCAAGCUUACGGGCAAAGUUACUAAUGGUGGUCGGGACUAUGUUGGCUGCUUUAUCAUGUAUACUGAAUUUUCUAAAUGUGAUAGUUAUGAUCAUCUUUCAGGUUUCAAAGCAAUUUAGUUGAAAAGAGUAUAAUUUUACAUGUACAGGAUCCUGGUAUAUACAAACUGCUUCUGAAGUUGAAUCGUUUGAAUGGUAGCAAUUUUUUCCACAGCCAAACUCGAGACUUUUUAUGAAUGCAAAGCAAUUUAAGAGGUGUGUACUAACUGUGCAUAAACGAGAAUUAUUUCUUGAUGGUGGUGGAAUUGUUAAUUUGUUCCAGAUAUAUUGCAUCCAAGUGAAUCCUCAUAUAUUUGGAAUACAUGUAAAGAAAAUAUUGCUCUCUUCUCUCUCAUCUCACUCACCACUCUCAGAUAGAUAUGGUAUCUCAUUAUAUGUGAAUCACUCAAAAUACAUGCACAUAUAUGUAUCUAGUGUGAUUUACAUUGUCUCUGAGAUAGUUACAAGUCUUGCUCACCUAGUUCCCCAAUCUCUCCUCUCUCCUUUUUAUGUACCUUGUAGGAAAACGCAUGUAUCUUUGCAUAAGAUACGUAAACAAUUUUAAAUUAGUGGUAAGAUAAAUAAUAUUUUGGCAUUAUGGAUCAUUAUAAUAUUUAUAGUAGUGAAUUAUAUGUCUAAUUAUAUAGUUUUCGAAUAUUUUUAAAUAGCGUUGACCGUACAUUUUGAGAGUAGAUUUUCAAAAUUAACCUUCAAAUAUUCAUUGGACUAUAAAAUUUGACUAGAUUUUCAAAUUUUGGUUUUCAAAUAUUUUGAAGUUCCUAACACCAACUAAGAUUUGUUUUUGAAUUUUAGUAACUUCCAUUCACGAAACUCCAAGAAAUUUUGGGCAAGAAAUUUAUUUUUCUUCUAAUUACUUUAACUUUAUUGUUUACGAUUAUAAUAGCAUAUUAAAAAUUUUCUUAUUAUAUUGAAUGUUUGAAGAUUUUGAUAUAUAGAUUAUUUCAUUUCAAAUUGUGUUCUCACCUACUUUCCUCAAAUUGAUAAAGUCAUUAACAAAAUUAUAAUGUUAAUCUCUUUAAUUUAGAAUGUUUAUUUAGUUUUCUUUAUUAUGAUUAGUGCAAGACUAUAUUCAUUUAAAUAUCUAUAAAAUUAUGUUUUGUUACUUUAAUCUUAACAUAAUGAGAAGAUUUGUUUUCAUUUAUUGUAUUGCAAGAAAUUAAUUACAUCAUUGAGGAUGUUUUUUUAUAAAUAAGCAACACAUUUUUUGGACAACUCAUCUAUUACUAUAUCAUUUUAGAGUCAUGGUAGGGAAAAAGACCCUAGGACGCCAUAAGAUUUCGAUGGCCAAAAUAGAAAAUAAAUAUGAUUUAUACUCAUCAUUUUCAAAGUGUCUGGAAAUUUUAUACAAGAAAGAAACCAAUAUGAUUGGGAAAUAUGACAUUGAUGUGAGAAUAAUCGCAUUUUCCCCCUCUCAUAGUCCCUUCACUUUUUUCCAUCCUACAAUUGAUGCUAUUAUUGAUCGUUUCAUUAGUGCAUUUAACCAAGGAAGUUUAUAUAGUCGCCUUAACGUUGCAAGCACUCGAAUCAGAAACAAGUUUAGCUUGACAAUCUAGAUAUCACUAAAGAGACUUUAGCUAAUCAGAAAACAGACGAGACUGACAUAGAGGAAAUGUAGGAACAAAUAAAGGUAUUUAAUGCAGAGGAUUUGAAAAAAAUAUGAAGUCGAUUGGAUGAGAUUGAUUUAAUGCUGGAAAAUGUUAUUGCUUCUUUUCCACAAGCUCCUCAAGAAAAUUCUAAUUAAGUAUAUAAUGGUUCCUUAUACAUUUGAAGCUUCAUGCAAUGAAAUAAUUUUCUUUUCUAAAACGUUUUUAUUAUAAGUUUUAGUUUCAAUUUUUAUUAUCAAGUUGAUGGUGUUAUUUGAAUUAUUUAGCGGUGAUUUUCAUUUAUGAUGUAAAUUUAAUGAACCGAAAGACUUGAAUUUUUGUAUUGGUUAUGAGUUCAAUAUUUUUUAAUUAUCAUGGUAAGUUUUAGAAUUUUUAACAUAUGUCAAUGAUUUUGAAUAUAUUUAAUGAUACUAUCAUUGUGAAGACCUUAGAUCUUGGCUUUGAACUAAUAAAUGCAAAUUAGUUUUCAGGGUUUUAAUCUAAUCACACACAUAUGAUGUGUUUAGAAAUAAUUAAAAUUUAUUCUUACACGUUUGGGCUAUUUAGAUAUAUCUUUAACGGUUUUUAGGACAACAAUACAUUAAGAAAAUUAAAAAAUCGGAGCCAGAAGGUGAAAUUUAAUUCGAGCAAAUAGGGAGGUCCAUUUAUACUGAGUGUCGUAGAAGAUCUGUCAGGCUAAAGUGUAUCUAGUAGUUGAACUUUAGACUGAGCCAACUAAAGGGUAAAGUCACUUUUUCAAAAAAAAAUAGAACAUCUAAAUUUAAUUGUGAAAUCAAAAUUUUCAUGAUGGCUAAGCUUUCGUAAAUGAACAUUUUGGCCUAUUUUUUUAAAUGAUGAGUGAGUUUUACACCCAUUACUAACAAAUUUGACAAUUUUUUAUAUGUAUUUGUAACAUCUCGCAACUAAGAAGAACAACAAAAGAGUUUAAAAUCUGAAAAUAGUUACUAUUAAAUAUAUAAGGAAAUCUGAAAAUCUUUGAGUAAGCCAAAAAGUGAGUUUUUCACUUAUUUCAAACCACUAUAAGUCCUAACCGAAGAUGAUUUAGGUGUAAUUCCACAUAUGUUUGGAAUUAUGAAUUAUCAUUCCCAUGCCACUAAGUUUGCGCGAUUAGGAGUUCAUAUGAGUGAGUUAUGUCUUUUGGAAGUUGAGUUGUUGGAUAAAGCAAAGUCUAAUCCGGAUUUGGGAAGGAAAAAUUUGUCCUUUUCUUACCUAAUUAUAUAAAUUCGUUUAUAGUGAUUAAUUAGGGUAAAAUAAGACUUCAUUCACUUUAGAAAAAUUUAGAGUUUACGCAAGGGAUUGGAGAAACGAUAAAAGAGGAGAAAUCAAGAAAUUUCUAAUUCAUUCAAGCUUUGCGUGUGGAAUUUGUCGGGGGUGAUCCCUAUAAAGGUAUGCGAGAUCACAUAGUGUUGGGUUAGUUUACCCAUGUGCCAACCAUGUUUCAAUUCAAAGAAUUUAAGUUUUAGUAUGUUAAGAAAUUGAGUUCUUGAAGAACAUCGUUGAAAGUUUCGUUGAAUUCUUGUGGGUUGUUUAGUUGAAGUUUAUUGAGGUUUGAUUCAUAUUUUCGACUGUAGUUUUCUUGAAUUUAUCGUAUAUUUAGAGUACUAUUUAUCUUUAGUGUUUGGGGAAAGAACCAUGGAAGUUUAGAACGCCUUGAGAUGAAUAAUGAAGGAGAAAAGUCGGAGUCAAUAGGGAAAAAGGGUGAGGCAUCGCGCUAGUCGGUGUACCCCAAAGAAAUCUCUGUCUAUAGGGCUCUGGGGACGCGCCAGACAGAGCACCCCAACCAAUGCUAUGAAGAUUGAGGGCGAACUCCUCAUGCCUCUUAGAGUUUCGAGGAUGCUAGUUCUCCCCAUUCUUCUUCCAUCUUUUCGUACUAGGUUCCUCAGUGAUUUACCAAUGUUUCCUGGUUGAUUCAAACACUCUAAGGUACAUCUAAACAUAAUUAAAUUAUCUGUAAAUGUGAGAUCAUGAACUCUGAACCCAUAAUCCAAUUUAAGGAAAGUUAAUAUCAAAAUCAUGAGAAGUUAAGAUAAAGUCUAGAAGUUAAGGGCAAGUCAAAAUAAAGUUUAUAAAGUUUUCAAAAGUCUUUCACAAACGUUUUCACUUUGUUCUAAAGACUUAAAAUUCUGGUCGAGUAAAGAGUAAAGGUUGAAGUCAUUUCUUCAAAGAAGUAUAUGGGGACUAUGAUUUCCCAAAGAUUUUAAAAAUAUUUUUCUCAUUUGAGAAAGAAAGGUAACAUCGCUUCCGAAAGGUAACAUCGCCGAGCUUUUAAGCUAUGUUUUGAGUAAUUAUUUGUAACCAAAGAAAGAAGUUGUUUUAAAAAGAUAAGAUCUAAGUAUAUUAUUAGAAGCACCGAUAUGCUGAUGCGAGUUCAUAUCAACUCAAGUUUUCAUAAACCAUGUAGUCAUCAUAAGUAUUAAAGGGUUAUACUUUUUAGAUGAUCACUUAAGUUAAGCUAGUGAAUCAACUAAGUUAUGUAGUUUUGUAUGACGUCAUAGUAUUGAACAGUAUAGCGGGGUGAUGGUAACAAUCUUGAUCACCACUUAGGAUCAUAGAGGUGGUUGUCGGUUAGAGAAACUCCCACAGUAAUAAGUGCAUGGUUCCUCAAGAGAUUCUGCUUAGUUUGAAUGGGGUAUGAUACUUCAUUCAUGCAUUGCACAAGUAGACUUUGAGAGGGAGCAUCCUCUUUUUUUUAUUGCACUUGUUCUAAACUACUUUAUAAUGAAAUGAGUUCAAUUAGGUAUUGAGGAGUUGAGAAAGCCAAGAUAAGUGUUUCUUUCAGAAUCUUCUCAAUCUUAUGGUGUAUUUGGUAUUCUAACUCGCAUACUCGGUCAUUCAAUAUACUGAUGUCAAUUUACCUGGAUUGUCUAAUGAUGCAUACACAAGUAACUAGGAUUAGCACCUAGCACACCAUUGAUCCAAUGAGCAGCUUAGUGUCAGUUGGUGAGCCUUCUUGCAUUCCAGAGGAAUCCUUUUCAUUGUUUACAAUUUUAUUUUUGCAGUUGUUAGGAUGAUUGGGGGUUUUAUCCCGACAUCCAUCUCAGUUAUUCGAGGCUUCAUAGAUAGCUAGUUAUUAGACAUUUGUCUUUACAUUGUCAUUAAUAUGUACUAAUACUUGAGUUGUCAUUUAGCUAUAUUCAAUGUUUAUUUUUUUAAAAAAAGGUUUGAGUCUUAUGAUUAGUUAAGUAAGUCAGGCCAAAGGCUUGCUUAGGGCCAACAAUGGUUCUUGAGUGCCGGCAACGUCCCAGGUGUAGGCUUGGGGCGUGAACAACUUGAUAUUAGAACCUAGAGUUCAAGAGUCCUAGGGAGUGUAUGAAGUGGUAUUUGUAGAGUCCUAGUUAUCAGUGCGAAGCGCGUCACAUCUAUAAUUAGGAGGCUGCAACAGUUAGAAAUUCCUUCACUUCAUUCAUACUUAUUUCGUGUGUUGGAGUUUGACCUCUAAAAGGUUUCCUUCUAAUUUGUGCUUGCACGUGUUUUCAGAGAAUUAUUCCUCCACGAAGAGAAGUCAAAAAUCCUCCAACUAGGAAGAAUAAUGAGGAACAAGAAUCCCAAUACACCUGAAGUGCAACCUCAAUGAAAAGUUACCCAUGCUGAAUUUUGUGAGACUAUCUGAACGUUAUGUCAAGUUUCAACCUAUCAAAUUGGACAGAGAGAUAAUCGACAGGAAAUGGUUGAUACAUCAAAGAUUUGAGAGCUUUUAAGGAUGAAUCCCCCAAGCAUCACAGGUUCAAGUGUCACUGAGGAUCCAGAAAACUUUAUUUGGUGUAAUGCAAUUGUUGAAGCAGAGAGGGUGGAACUGGUUGCAUACCAAAUGAAGGGUGUCGCUGGAAUCUGGUUUGACCAAUGGAAAAAGAAUAGGGUGGAGAAUGCACCGGUAGCGAGUUGGGUUGUGUUUCAGAGUGCUUUCAUGGGGCGUUUAUUUCCUUGUGAGUUGCGAGAGGAAAAUAUAAAAGAGUUUCUCACCCUUAAUCCGGAGUCUGUGAGUGUUCAUGAAAACGGUCUAAAAUUCACAUAACUUUCACGCUAUGCUCCAGAGACGGUUUCUGACAUGAGGAGUAGGAUGAGUUUCUUUGUUCAUGGGUUGUCUUUUUAGUCAAGCAAGGAAGACAAGGCUGCUAUGCUGAUAGGGGAUAUUGACCUAGCAAGACUUAUUAUACAUGUACAACAAGUUGAGAAAGAUAAGCUGAAGGAUAGAGAAGACUUUAAGAAUAAGAGGGUCAAGACAUCAAAUAAUGAUUUUAGGCAACACAAGAGUAAAUACAACUCUCCUACGGAAACAGAAGGGACAUGCUCCACCAUUUGGUAGUGCACCUGCACUUAAGAACAAAGGUGAUUACAAUAGUCAGAAUCCCCAUAGUUUCAAAGCUAAACAUGCGUGUGCUAGGUGUGGUAGAAAACACCAAGGUAAGUGUUGUGAUGGGAAGACAUGUUGCUUCAAGUGUGGUAAAAAGGGUCACUUUAUGAGAGAGUGUCCCCAGAUCUUGCAAAGUCAUGGUAAUAAGGCCCAGCCUUCUUUAGUUGCUCCACAAGACAGAGUUGCAACUCAAGGAGCUGCUUCAGGUACUAGAGGGGAAACAAACCGAUUAUAUCCUAUCAAAAGUCAUCAAGAGAAAGAAAAUUUGCCAGAUGUUUUCACAGGUAUGAUCAAACUCUUUGACUUGCUGUUUAUGCUUUGUUAGACUCAGGGGAGAGCUUAUAUUUUGUUACUCCUUAAGUUGCUUUGAAUUUUGAUGUUAUUCCUGAGCAACUUAGUAAAUCAAUCAGUGUUAGUACACCUGUUAGUGAGUCUAUUCUAUUAGAGAGAGUCUAUCGUGAUUAUAUCAUUUCUGUCAAUCACAAGAAUACCAUGGCUGGUUUAGGUGAGUUAGACAUGGUAGGUUUUGAUGACAUUCUAGGUAUGGACUAGAUUCAUGGCUUUUACGUAGAUUGUAGAACUCGAGUUUGUUCCUUAAGCCAAGGAAGUUAAAGUUAGUUUCUAAGGGGAGUGUCUAUCAUUUACUCCAAGUUAAUGACUCUAGUGUUAAGAUACCUCUUAUUUAGUUAAUUCGAGUAGUAAAAUAGUUUCCAUAAGUCCUUUAAGAUGAUCUUCCCGGAGUCCCUCUUGAUAUACAAAAUAGACUUCGGCAGGGUUGAAAGAGCUUAAAGAACAGCUGAAAGAUAUGUUAGAUAAGGGUUUCAUUCGACCAAGAGUCUCACUUUAGGGCGCUACAAUCUUGUUUGUGACAAAUAAAGAAUAAGUAUCCUCUUUAUCAAAUUGAUAAUACUUUCGAUCAGCUUCAGGGUGCUUCUUAUUGUUAUAAGAUUAACCUCAGAUGUGGCUACCAUCAGUUGAAAGAAAGGGAGUGUGAUAUUCCCAAGAUAACAUCUAGGACCCCUUAAGGUCAUUAUGAGUUUAUGGUCAUGCCAUUUGGUUUCACUAAUUCACUUGCAAUAUUUAUGAACCUUAUGAAUAGAGUCUGUAUACGUCAUUUAGAUAUGUUUGAUAUCAAUUUUAUCUAUGACAACUAAUCUAUUCAAGAAAUGAAGAAGAUCCUUCUAGUCAUCUCAAACUAGUCCUCCAGUCUUUGAAUGACGAGGAGGUAUAUGCUAAGUUCCCCAAAUGCGAGCUUGACUUGAUAUUAUGGCGUUCUUGGGUUACAUAGUUUCCGGUGAUGGAAUUAGAGUUGAUACCAAAAAGAUAGAACCAGUUCAAAGUUGGCCUAGACCCACAUGUUCAACUGCAAUAAGGAGUUUCUUAGGUUUGGCUAGAUUAAAUAGAAGGUUUGUAGAGGGGUUCUCCUAUAUUUCUUCCGUUUUGACCUAUUAACUCAGAAAAGAGUAAAAUAUCAAUGGUUUGAGGCUGGUGAGAAAAACUUUUAGGAAUUGAAAAACAGAUUGACACUUUCCCAAUUUGAUCUUACAAGAAGGUAAGCAAGGCUUUGUUGUCUAUUGUGUUGCGUCUAGAAUUGUUUGAGUUGUGCGUUAAUGUAGAAUGACAAAUUUAUAGCUUUUACCUCCAGGUAGUUGAAAUUUCAUGAGAAGAAUUACCCAAACCAUGAUCUAGAGUUUGAUGUUGCGGUAUUUGUUUUGGAAAUAUUGUGCCACUAUCUUUAUGGUAUUCAUGGAUAUAUAUUCACCGAUUAUAAGAGUCUUACGUGUUUACUUAGAAAGGGCUUAAUCACACACAAAGGAGGUGGCUAAAAUUACUCAAAGACUAUGACAUGAGUAUUCUUUAUCACCCAGGUAAAGCUAAUGUCGUUGUUGAUACUUUAAGUAAAUUCUCAAUGCUUGAAUGAAAGGCAACUGUUCAUAAUUAAAAAGUGAUGGCUUUUGAACCAGGGGGAGAUGCUGUUUUGAGGUAUGAAGAUAGAUUGUGUGAUUGAUUUUAAGGUUUAUUGGGAUAAUCACCUACCUCACAUGGAUUUUUUUACAACAAUAGUUACCAUUCUAAUAUCCAAAUGGAUCCUUAUGAAGCUCAUUACGGGAGAAGAUGCAGAUUUGAUUUUUAAUGGUUCGAAUUUUGUGAAGUAGGGUUGAAAGGACCAGAGUUACUUAAUCAAGCUAUGGAGAAAAUGAAAUCCAUUCAAAAUAGAUUGGAACCAACAAAAACUCAUCACAAAUCCUACAUUGAUGUUAGGAGAAUGUAGUAACAGUUUGAGGUAGAUGAUUGAGUUACUUGAAAAGUUUCACCCAUGAAGGGUGUUAUAAGAUUUGAUAAGGAAGGGAAGAUCAGUGUACAAUAUAUUGGUCCUUCCAAAAUAUCCAAGAGGAUUGACAAUGUAGCUGGUAAGUUAGAGCUACCACAAGAAUUAGUUGUAGUCCAUCCGGUGUCUCACAUCUCCAUCUUGAAGGAGUGCAUGGGAGAUACUGUACUUAUCAUACCAAUUGAGAGGAUAUUGAUAUCACGGAUAGUUUGUCUUAUGAGGAGGUUCCGGUUCAGAACCUAGAUCGCCAAGUUCGGAAGUUGAGAAUAAAGCAAGUAGCAUCGAGUCAAAGUUCUGUGGAGAAAUUAGUUUGUAGAGAAGCUACUUGAAAAUAUGAAGAGGAUAGGAGAAGAGAUACCCUCAUCUCUUCUGAUCCGGCGAAGCUUCAAAUUAAAGGUACUAAUCCUUUUCUUGGCAUUAAUAUUAAGUUGGCUUCUUGAAAUUGCAUUGUGCUUGUUGAGUGUUUAAAUUGUAUAAUUGAUGUGACACCUUUAACCUUGUCACAACCCAACCCGAUGGGCCGUGACUAGUGCCCGUUUUGGACACCCAUAUACAAACCUGCUAAGUAUAACAAACUGAAACUAAGACAAUAUAGAAUUUAAUCAAAUCAAGCCAACCCCAACGUCGUAUAUAUAUAAGAGGACCUGUCUCAUAAGGAGUCAUAACCAUUCAACCAUAACAGCAUACGCGAGCUGACAAGGCCGCCACUAUUCCAAGCAUAAUAACAUACGUAAGCCGACAAGGCUGUCACUACACAAUACACAAUGAUGUACGCAGCCGAAAGGGCUGCCCUUGUACAAGCGGACAUCCCAAACAAACCAUGUCCACACCAUUAUCCAAAACAUAUAUAUACAACUCACAUAAUUUCCACAGACCUCUAAGAGUACAUUAGUGAAACUCGACGGGAAAGGGCCCCGCCAUACCCAUAGACGAGCAAAAGACUACACAAAAGUGAUGUACCAAAACGACUGGGCUCCGGAAUAGUGGAGCUCUCCCAAUCAGCAGAGUAGAUAUCCUAGGCGGGAGGAUCACCAAACUGUGCGUCUACACCUGUGGGCAUGAAACGCAGCCCCCCGAGGAAAGGGGGUCAGUACGGACAAUGUACUGAGAAUGUAAAGCAUAUGGUAAAGAUGACAGGAUACCAAUAUGGCAAGUCGAAACAAAAUAUCGCUACACAUGCACCCUUUUAAGUGAAAAUCAUGCAUAUCUUUAAAAUAUAAGGUGCCCAGCUUCCCUAGUAAGGGACUCGGCAAAAUAAUCAUCAUUUCAUCUCCGUCAUCAUCAUCAUCGUAACCAUCCUCAUCACCAAUCAUAUAUAUAAUAUACAUACCCGGCCCUCUAGUGAGGAACUCGGUGACAUAUGCAAGAAACUCCGUACGAACAUUACCCGGCCCGGGACUCGGUGAAAUGAUAAAUGACUCCAUGCACGAGCAGAAUAUUAUGAGCAACCAUAUGCAAUUAAAAUCAUUUCUUAUAACUCAAUAGAACAAUCAACAUGAACCAACAAGGAGUAUUACCAAAGAUUAAUGUUUUAUCAAGAUUAUGAACCUUUAAUACGAUAUGGAAAUGUAAAAUCUCAAUGACUCUAAGAAGCACUACCAUAGAUAUUAGAGAUCAUCAUAGCCUUAGACAUAGCCGAUAUAUAGAGGAAUAAUUGUGGAAGCAAGAAUAUACGUCACCUAGACGCUCUAGAGGUAAGUAUCAAACCUGUCCGUUAUUCUCUUAUUUUAAAAUGUCAUGCCAAACAAAGAAAGAAGGGACAACGUCACAUACCGUAUAAUCAAGCCGCACGUCCAAUAUUUACUACUCAAGCUAUUAAUCUAUAACAAGCAACAAUCGUGCCGCAAUUAGAUAAACAUCUAGCUUUACUUUCUUGUAAGCUAGCUAAUAAUCUAACGAAAAUUCGGCAGCACUUCCCCUAUUUUCCUUACUUCGUCCCAAUCCGACAACAACCCAAAUUAUCCACAGCAAUACCAAUAACACAUAUAACCCAACGAAUCAUAUUAAACAGCCCCCUCCCCAAAACAGUUCUGUCUCGGCAACCAUAGUAGCGAAGCAACGACACACCGAGCGAUAACUCAUUUUAUAAUUCGCAACACAUCUACCUUAUCGUAUUCAUCCUUUGGAGUAUAUACUCAUAAUCACAUUCAACAUAUACAUAAUGCCAAAACAGAAUUUUCCUUCAGUUUGCUUUAAUCAAAACAACCCAAGCACCAACAUGACACCACUAAUAAUCCAAUUCUGGUUUCCGUUCAUACCUAGCACAUUCAAUAACUAAAACAAACUUCCUAAGCUACUGGUCACGCCCCCUUCUUAAAAUUAAUGGAUAAUUAACAAAGGUAUUCUAAAGAAUUAACACACCAAACAAGGAGAUUACUAACCAAAUUAUUUGCAGCUGCUGGCCAAGAGUUGAAGGGUUGGUUUCUCCAUUUCCAUGGCUGCCUAAGAAAAGUGGUGAAGAAGAAGAUGAUAUGCAGCAAUGCAUUUCACCACUUUAUUUAGCAUGGAGUGGAUUUAUCCACCUCAUUUAAUAGUAUGAAGUGGAGGCAGCCCCCCUCUACACCUGUCUAUUAAGGCCAGCUCACAAUCUGAUCCCUUUUUAAUUUUUGCCUUGAGUGGUGGGUCCCACUUGAUUAAAUUAAUCCUAAUCAGCCACCAAUUAUGAGUGGUAGGCCCCAUUUGAUUAAAUCAAUCCAAAUUAGCCACUAAUUAGUCCCUCACUUAAAGUUAAUGACACUUACAUUAGCCAAUUCAUACUUAAUAUCACAUUUGGAAAUAACAUCCUUGCCUAAUAUUUCUUUAAUCACUUGGAACUUAAAAUAAAAUCUCAAUCCCCGGACUUACGUCUACUAGAUCACGAUGCGCACUACGUAUAUAAAAAAACGAGGCAUAACAAACCUAGUACGAAUAAUGUCAUUCGAGGAUGAAUGUUCCCAAGGGGGGAGAUAUUGUAACAUCUCAUAACUAGAAGAACUAGAAAAGAAUGUAAAAUUUGAAGAUAAAUACUUUUGGUAAGUAAAAGGAAAUCUAAAAAUCACCAAGUUAAAAAAAGUGAGUAUUUGGCCAACUUCAAACGAUCAUAACUCCUAGCCCAGGAAAAGUGUGGUGUAGUUCAAGAUAUGAUUGGAAAGCCUUUGGGAAUGAUUAUUACAAUUUCGUAAAGCUUGCACGAUUCCAAGUUCGUAUGAGUGAGUUAUAUCAUUUGGAAGUUCAGCAGUUGAAUUAAGGAAUAUCAAAUCCGGAUUAGGGAUGGGCAAAUUUGUUUUUCCUUACCUAAUUAUAUUAAUUCAUUCUUUAGGGAUUAGUUGGGGUAAAAUAUUACUUCAUUCAGUUCAGAUAUGGUAUCCCAAUACAUGUGAAUUUCUAAAGAUACAUACACAUAUAUCUGGUGUAUAUCUAGAGCGAUUCAAUGUGUCUGAGAUACAUACAAAUCUUGCUCUCCUCGUUUCCCAAUCUCACCUCUCUCCCUUAUUAUGUAUCUGAUAGCAAAAAUAAAUGUAUCGAAGCAUAAGAUACGUAAAUAAUUCUAUAUUAAUGGUAAGAUAGAUAAUAUAUUGGAAAUAUCGAUAAUAAUAAUAUUGAUAGUAAUUAUAUGUCUAAUUAUAUAGUUUUCUAAUAUUUUAAAAUAGUAUUGACCAUAUAUUCUGAGAGUAGAUUUUAAAAAUUCACCUUUAACUAAUUAUUUGAAUAUAAAAUUUGACCAGAUUUUCAGAUUUUGGACUUCAAAAUAAAUAGUAUUGACCAUAUAUUCUGAGAGUACAUUUUAAGAAUUCACCUUUAACUAAUUAUUUGAAUAUAAAAUUUGACCAGAUUUUCAAAUUUUGGACUUCAAAUAUUUUUGAGUUCCUAAAAAUAAGAUUUAUUUCUUGAUUUUAGAAACUUCCAUUCAAGUAGCUCCCAAAAGUUUAGGCAUGAAAUUUAUUUUUCUUCUAAUUAAUUUAACUUUUGUCGUCUACAAUUAUAGCAGCAUAUUAAAAGUUCUCAUAUUUUAUUGAAUGUUUGAAGAUUUUGAUAUAUAGAUAAUUUCAUUUCGAAUUGUGUUCUAACCUACUUUCUUCAAUGUGAUAAAGUUAUUAACCAAAUUAGAAUUUUUUUAAUGUCAUUUAUUUAGAAUUUUUAUUUAUUUUUUGUUAUUACGUAAGUGCAAGACUAUAUUCUUUUAAAUAUUUAUAUAAAUAUAUUUUGUUACUACAAUUUUAACAUACUGAGGAGAUUUGUUUUCAUUUAUUGUAUUGCGAGAAAUUAAUUACAACAUUGAAGAAUUCUUUUGUAUAAAUAAGCAUUAAUUUUUUUUGGAGAGCCUCAUCAAUUGACAUUAUUUAAAGUCAUGGCAGAAAAACAGACCCUAGGACGCCACAAGAUUUCAAUUGCAAAAAUUCAGAAUGAAGCAUAUUUAUGCUCAUCAUUUUUUAUGCUUCGGAAAAAUUUAUACAAGAAAAGAAGCGAUAUGAUUGGGAAAUAUGACAUUGAUAUGGGAAUAAUAAGAUUUUCCCUCUCAGAUAAACCCUUCUCUUUUUUUGCACCCGACAAUUGAUGCUGUUGUUGAUAGUUUGUUUUGUCCAUUUGACCGGGGAAGUGAAAAUAGUCGCCAUAAAAUUGCAUACACUCAGAUCAGAAUCAAGGAGAAUCAAGUUGAGCUUGACAAUCUCGAGAUGAUAAAAGAGACAUAAGCUAAUCAGACACUAGACGAGACUGACAUUAAAAAAAUGUGGGAACAAAUAAAGGUAUUUAAUGCAAAGGAUUUGAAAAAAUCUGAAAGUCGAUUGGAUUAUAAUUUGAUGUUGAAAAAUGUUGCUUCAUGCAAAUAAAUAAUUAGAUUUUUUUAAAAAAAAAUAUAUUUUCGUUUUAUGUUCUAGUUUCGAUGUUUAUUUUAAAGUUGAUGAUGUUAUAUGAAUUAUUUAGUUAUGAUUUAAAUUUAUGAUAUGAAUUUAGUGAACCCAAAGACUCAAAUUUUUUUUAUUAAUUAUGAUUUCAAUAUUUAAAUUUAUCAUGGUACGUUUUUACAAUUCUUAAAAUAUAUGUCAAUGAUUUUGAAUAUAUUUAAUUUUACUAUCACUAUGAGGACCUCAGAUCUUGGCUAUGACUACUAAAUGCAAAUUAGUUUUCUGGAUUUUAAUCUAACCACACUCAUAUAAUGUGUUCAAAAUUAAUUCAAAGUUAUUCUUACACGUUGGGGUAUUUAUAUAUAUCUUAAACGGCUUUAGGAAUAAUACAUUCUGAAAAAUAAAUAAUCAGAACUAGAAGGUGAAAUUAAUUCGAGCGGAUAGUGAUGUCCAUUUUCUCUCAGCAUCGUAGAAGAUCUCUUAGGUAAAAGAGACUCUAGUAGUUGAAUUAUAAAUUGAUUCAACUAAAGGUAAUGUCACUUUUUGAGAAAAAAUAAAAACUUUCAAUUUAGUGGUGAAAUCGAUAUUUUCAUGAUGGCUAAGCUUUCGUAAGUGACAAAAUCGACCAAUUUUCUCAAUGAUGAGCACAGUUUUACACCCAUUAUCAAUAAAUUUGACCAGCUUUGUUUUAUGUAUCUAUCACAAAUCAGUUGUUAAAAUAAUUGCGUAUGGAUUUUAGUAACACAAAAAUAUGCUGAUUAGGUUUUUAAUUAAAUAAUUUGAUUUGUCAAAAAAAAACUAGGACUAUUUUUUCGUUGUGUGCUGUUAUAUAUGAUAAAACUUCCAAAAAGAAGUUCAUUGGAUAAAUUUUUAUUACAUAAAUUCCACUAAUUUAAGAAUGAAUUACUUAAAUACAAUACAGUUUGGAAUAUUAUUUAUUUUACCAGAUUUUUGUGCAUAAAUGCUUCCAAAUACUGGUAUCUCAUAUACAUGGGAUCAAAUUUAAGUGUAAUUUGUUUAAGAUAUAUUAUAUCCAAGUGGAUCCACUUGUAUUUGUUAUACAUGUAUAACAAAUCUUGCUCUCUCCUUUCUCUCAUCUCACUCACAAUUCGAAGAUAGAUAUGGUAUCGUAAUACAUGUGAAUCAUUUAAGUUAUAUACACAUAUACGUAUCUAGUGAGUAUCUAGUGUGAUUUACAUAUGUCUAAGAUACAUACAAAUCUUGCUCGCCUCGUUCCACAAUCUCGCAUCUCUCCCUUUUUAUAUAUUUGAUAGCAAAAAUACAUGUAUUUAAGAAUAAGAUAUGUAAAUAAUUCUAAAUUAGUGGUAAAAUAGAUAAUUCUUUGGCAAUAUAGAAAUAAUAAUAAUAUUUAUAGCAGUGAAGUUUAUGUCUAAUUAUAUAGUUUUGUGAUAUUUUGAAAUAGCAUUGACCAUAUAUUUUGAGAAUAUAUUUAAGAAAUUCACAUUUAACUAUUAUUUAACUAUAAUAUUUGAUCAGAUUUUCAAAUUUUGUUCUUCAAAUAUUCUGAAAUUCCUAACACUAAUGUUUAUUGGAUUUUGGUAAUUUUCAUUCACGAAACUCCAAGAAAUUUUGGGCAAGAAAAUUAUUUUUUUCUAAUUACUUUAACUUUUGUCGUCACAAUUAUAGUACCAUAUUGAAAAUUUUCCUAUUAUAUUGAAUGUUGACGAUUUUUAUGUAUAGAUUAUUUCAUUUCAAAUUGUAUUCUCACAAACUUUCCUCAAUUUGAUGAAGUCAUUAACUAAAUAAGAAUAUUACUCUCUUUAGUUUAAUUUUUAUUAUUAUGGUAAGUGCAAGACUAUAUUCUUUUAAAUAUCUGUAUAAAUAUAUUUUGUUAUUAUAAUUUUAACAUAAUGAGGAGAUCUGUUUUCAUUAAUAUAUAGUAUUGCAAGAAAUUAAUUACGACAUUGAAGCAAUGUUUUUGUAUAAAUUAGUGUUGCAUUUUUUUGGAGAGUCUCAUCGAUUAACAUAUCCUUUUAGAGUCAUGAAAGAAAAAGAAGAUUUUGACGGCCAAAAUAGAAAAUGAAGAUGAUUUAUACGCAUCAUUUUUUCAAUGUAUUGUAAAACUUUAUACAAGAAAGGAAGCGAUAUGAUAGGGAAAUCACAUUGAUGUGGGAAUAAUAACAUUUUUCCAGUAUGAUAAUUCUUUCUUUUUUAUACCCUACAAAUGAUGUUGUUGUAGAUCGUUUCUUUAGUCUAUUUGACCAGGGAAGUGAAAAUAAUCGCUUUAACAUUGCAAACACUCUGAUCAGAAUCAAGAAGAACCAAGUUGAGCUUGACAAUCUCGAGAUCAUAGAAGAGACUUUGGUUAAACAGACAACAGAAAAUACUGACAUAGAAGAAAUCGGGGAAUAAAUAGUAGUAUUUUAAUUCAGAGGAGUUGAAAAAAUCUAAAAGUUGAUUGGAUGGGAUUGAUUUGAUGCUGAAUAAUGCUGCUCCUUCUUUUUCACAAGCUCCUCGAGAAAAUGCUAAUUAAGCAUACAAUGGUUCGUAUACAUUUGAAGCCUCAUGUGAUGAAAUAAUUAUUUUUUUUGUAAACAAUAAGUUUAAGUUUGGAUGUUUAUUAUAAAGCUGAUGGUGUUAUUUAAAUUAUUUAGUUGUGAUUUCAAUUUAUGAUAUGAAUUUAGUGAACCUAAAGACUCAAAUUUUUGUAAUUAUGAAUUCAAUAUUUAAAUGUCUCAUGGUACAUUUUAGAAUUUUUAACAUAUAUGUGAAUGAUUUUGAAUAUAUUUAAUGAUAUUAUCAUUGUAAAGACUUUAGAUCUUGGUUUUGGACUAAUAGAUGCAAAUUAGAUUUCAGGCUUUUAAUCUAAUCACACCCAUAUAAUGUGUUCAAAAUUAAUUUUUAAACUUAUAAAUUUAUUCUUACAAUUUUUGGCUAUUUAAAUAUAUCUUAAACGGUUUUUAGGAAAAAAUAGAUUUAAAAAAAUAAAUACUCGGAGCUAGAAGGUGAAAUUUAAUUCGAGCAGAUAGUGAGGUCCAUUUUCUCUCUAUAUCGUAGAAGAUCUGUCAAGUUAAAGUGUAGCUAGUAGUUGAACUACAGAUUGAUCCAACUAAAAGGUAAGCUCACUUUUUUGAGAAAAAAUAAAAACAUUUAAAUUUAGUAGUGAAAUUGAAAUUGUCAUGAUGGCUAAGCUUUCGUAAAUGACAAUUUUGGCCUAUUUUCUCUGUGAUGAGCGCAUUCUUACACCCAUCACAAACAAUUUUGUUCAUUUUUUAUAUGUAUUAUCACACACCAGUUGUUAAAAUAAUUGCAUAUAGAUUGUAUUAACACAAAUAUAUGCUGAUUAGGGUUUUAAUUCAAUAAUUUGCUUCGUCAAAAAAAAGAAGCAGCUAAGAUUAUCUUUUCGUUGUGUAAUGUUAUAUAUAAUAAAAGUUCAAAAAGGAAGUUCAUUGAAUAUUUUUUACAUAUAUUUCCACUAGUUUAAGAAUGAAUUACUUAAAUACAUUAUAGUUUGGAAUAUAAUUAUUUUACCUGAUUUUUGUUCAUUCAAAUACAUCCAUAUACUGAUAUCUCAUAUACAUGGGGUCAUAUUUACGUGUAAUUUGUUUUAUAUAUAUAUAUAUAUACAUUGUAUCCGAGUGGAUCUGACUGUAUUUGACAUACAUGUAUAGGAAAUCUUGCUCUCCUCUCUCUCAUCUCACUCUCCACUCUCAGAUAGAUGUGGUAUCCCAAUACAUGUAAUUCACUCAAGAUACAUACAUAUAUAUGUAUCUAGUGUGUAUCAAGUGUGAUUUACAUGUAUUUGAAAUACAUAUAAAUUGUACUCGCCUAGUUCCCCAAAUCUUGCCUCUCUCCCUUUUUAUGUAUCUGGUGGCAAAAAUACAUGUAUCUUAGCAUAAGAUACGGAAAUAAUUCUAAAUUAGUGGUAAUAUAGAUAAUAUUUUGGCAAUAUAGAUAAUUAUAAUAUUUAUAGCAUCGAAGUAUAUGUCUAAUUAUAUAGUUUUCUAAUAUUUUAAAAUAACAAUGACCAUAUAUUUUGAGCAUAGUUUUUCAAAAUUCAUCUAUAACUAUUUAUUAGACUAUAAAAUUUGACCAGAUUUUCAAAUUUUGGUCUUAAAUAUUUUGACGUUCCUAACACUAACUAAGAUUUGUUUUUGGAUUUUGGUUACUUCUAUUCAUGAAAAACCAAGAAAUUUUUUGUAUGAAAUCUUUUUUUCUUCUAAUUACUUUAACUUUUGUCGUGUACAAUUAUAGUAGAAUAUGAAAAUUUUUUCUAUUAUAUUGAAUGUAUGAAGAUUUUUAUAUAUAGGUUAUUUCAUUUCAAAUUGUGUUCUCACCUACUUUCCUCAAUUUGAUAAAUUCAUUAAUCAAAUUACAAUAUUAAUCUCUUUAAUUUAGAAUUAUUUAUUUAUUUAUUGUUAUUAUGGUAAGUGCAAGACGAUAUUUCUUUUAAAUAUUUAUAUGAAUAUAUUUUAUUAUUAUUAUUUUAACAUAAUGAGGAGAUUUGUUUUCGUUUAUAGUAUAGAAAUUAAUUACAACAUUGAAGAAUUCGUUGUAUUAAUAAGAAACACAUUUUUGGGAGAGCCUCAUCAAUAAACAUAUCAUUUUAGAGUCAUGACAGGAAAAAAGACUCUAGGCACCAGAAGCUUUCGAUGGCCAAAAUAAAAAAUGAAGAUUAUUUAUAUUCAUCAUUUUGAAAGUGUCUUGAAACACUAUCCAAGAAAGCAAGCGAUAUUAUUGGAAAUAUGACAUUGAUGUGAGAAUAAUAACAGUUCCCCCUAUGAUAAUCCGUUCUUUUUUUUACAUCCUACAAUUCAUGUUGGUGUUGAUCGUUUAUUUAGUCCAUCAAACCACAAAAGUGAAAAUAGUCGCCUUAACGUUGUGAAUACUCAUAUUAGAAACAAGUUGAGCUUUACAAUUUAGAGAUCAUAGAAGAGACUUUAGCAAAUCAGACAACAGACGAGACUGACUAGCACAAAUGUUGGAACAAAUAAAGGUAUUUAAUGCAGAAGAUAUGGAAAAAUCUGAGAGUCGUGGAUGAGAUUGAUUUGAAUCUUGAAAAUGCUACUGCUUCUUUUACACAAGCUCCUCAAGAAAUUGCUAAUUAAGCAUACAAUGAUUCCUAAUACAUUUGAAUCCUCGUGCCAUGAAAUAAUUAUGUUUUUUUAAAAUGUUUAUGUUUUGAGUUUUAGUUUUGAUUUUUAUUUUAAAGUUGAUAGUGUUAUUUUAAUUAUUUAGUUGUGAUUUCCAUUUAUGAUAUGAAUUUAGUGAACCCAAAGGCUUGAAUUUUGUAUUUAUUUUGAGUUAAAUAUUUAAAUUUCUCAUGGUACAUUUUAGAAUUUUUACCAAAUAUGCUAAUGAUUCUAAUUAAAUGUUAUUAUAUUGAAUAUAUUUAAUGAUACAAUCAUUCUGAAGACCUUAGAUCUUGGCUUUGGACUAAUAGAUGCAAAUUAGUUUAGAGAGUUUAAAUUUAAUCACACCUAUACAAUGUGUUCAAAAUUAAUUCAAAUUUAUUCUUACGGGUUUGGGUUGUUUAGAUAAAUCUAACAAUGGUUUUUAGGAAAAAAAUAACAUUUUUAAUAUAGUUAAUCAGAGCUAGAAGGUGAAAUUUAAUUAGAGCAGACAAUGAGUUCUAUUUUCUCCCAAUAUCGUAGAAGAUCAGUCAGGUCAAAGAGUCUCUAGUAUUUGAACUAUAGAUUGAGCCAACUAAAAGGUAAAGUCACUUUCGUAAAUGACAAAUUUGGCCUAUUCUCUUAUGGACGAGCGUAGUUUUACAACCAUUACUAACAAAUUUGACCAUUUUUUAAGAGUAGCAUUAUUUUAAGUAAUUCACCCUACCUUAGAUGUGAUGUUAUUCUCUUCUGUUUAUGAAAGUGCAUCUUAGCCCCUUGCUUCUUCUUCCAUGUGGAUUUUUCAUAAACAAGAUUUCAAGAGAAGUUUCCUUUUAUUUGUGGCACAUGGUUUUUUGAAAUUCAUUUCAAGAAGGUUGAAGUUUAUCUACUAUGCCACAAACAAUAAUGUUAUCUCCAAUUUUAACCUCUUCAAACCUAAGCUCUCAAACAAUCAUGAUAAAGUCUUGAGCUUGGUCUACCAGUGAUUUGUUGUCUACCAUUUGGAAACGAAAAAAUCAACUAGCCGCAUAUUUUUUCGCUCAAGCCUCUUUGGUAUCAUACUUAAUCUGCAAUGCCUUCCAAAUAUUCUUUGCACUAGAGUAAGUUCUAUCAUAAUAUUCAUAAAAAUUAUCAGAUAGACAAUUAAGAAGAUAAUACCGACACUUAUAGGAAUCACCAUCGUACUUUUCCACUUUCUCUAGAUAAAAAAAAUUAUUUCAUCAUCAUUCAUAGAGGUGAUGUCUUCUUUAUUUGGAUUCUUCUCGGUCAAUAAAUAAGAAACAUUGAGAAGAAUUAAGUAGAAAAGCAGUUUACCCUUUCAUCUCUUGAAAUGGUUACCAUUGAACCGAAAUGGCUUAUUAACGUCUCCCAUCUUGACAUCCGCGGUUUUUUUCAAUUGUAACCAUGUUAAAUCUCCUUAAUUGUUAGUGAAAACUUAAAAUAUAACAAAAAUACAAGAUUAAAUUGAAUAUGAAAUGAAGAAAUCAAAUCUUUUCAGGUUAACAUACGGAUAUUUCGCUCUCUUUAAGGAUAUUCAAGCCUACUGCAACAAAUGUUUCACAUGUACAACAGUAGUCCUCUUGGGCUUCUCCCUUUCAGGAUACAACGGCCUUUACAAAGUAUAACUCAACAACUACGGACAAGAUUUGAGUCCAAAGCUCCACAAAUAAAGCACCUCCCUUCAAUUAAUAAGAACUCUUUUUUAACUAACUCUUUUACUCUAUAUUUUUUUCUUCUGUUUUAUAGGUUACAAACCAAAUGAAGACCACCACUAUUUAUAGUAUAAGAAGUCUUCCUAACAAUGAAUAGGAAGAUAAUGUGGUAGUAAAUAGUGAAGAUACUGAUCUUAGGAGUUACAUAUGUUGCAAAGAAUAAUGGUAAAUAAUGUGAGUGCAUUAUGCAACUAACGGGCAGAAUGUGGAGUUUCACAAAGAUACAAUAAUGUGCACCAAAUGAAAAUGUCAGAAACGGCUUAAUAAAUAUAAAUAAACCUCAUAAUGCAUUCUUCCAAGGAUAAAAUAAAAUAAACCAACCUUUUUUCCAAAUAUAAAACAAAAUAGACCAAAAGAAAUUUCUUGAGGUUUGAUUCGUAUUUGAACGAGUGAUUUUGGAUUGAAUAUAUCGUAUAUUUAGAGUGCUAUUGAUCCUUAGUAUUUGGGGAAGGAUUUAUAUACAUUUACAGAGUUUUGAGAUUAAAAUUGAAGGAGAAAAGUUGGAGUCACCUAGAAAAAAGGAUGAUGCGUCGGGCCAGCCAGCGCGCCCCAAAGAAAUCUCUUUCUAUAGGGCUCUGGGGUGACGCGCCAGACUGAGCGCCCCAAACAGUCCUACGAAGUUUGAGGGCUGGCGCCCUGUGCUUUUCAGAACGCCAGGGAUGUCAGUUCUUCCCAUUCUCCCGUACUAGUUUCUUAGUGAUAUACCUAUGUUUCCUAGUUGAUUCAGACAAUCUAAGGUACAUCUACACAUCACGAAAUCAUCCAUAAACAUGAGAUCAUGAGCCUUGAAUCCAUUAUCCAAUUCAAGAAAGUUAAGAUCAAAGUCAAGAGAAGUUAAGAGUCUCAUAUACCACACUCAUUCAUUCAUUAGGAAUAGAUAUAGAAAUUUCUACUAGACACUCCACUCAACUUACGGAUGAUCAUAUUCAGAAGAGAUCAAUUGAGAAUAACAUUCAAUACACUCAACGUUCCUUAACAAUAGUGUAGAACUUCAUUCAUCAUUCAUUUAUUUUUCAUUCAUGAGUGUGUGUGAGGGAGUAACUUUUCACCUUAAAUGUCAUCAUUCUUAAAUGUUAAUCAAGAAUAUGACUCCACUCAUAACACCAUUGCAAUCUUGACAUAAUCAUAAAGUACAUGGAAGUAAACACAUCCACCAUAACUAGAUCAAACAUCAAUAAAUUAACAUUCUAUAUCAUUUAAAAUCAAUCUCAACCCAUAUAUCCAAGAUACUACAAGAGAUAAGACAAUUGACAUAUUUCCAUAACCAAUUCCACCAUCUGCAUAAGCAAUUCAACAUGAAUUCAUUCAUAAUUCCUUUAAAGGUCAUGAUCCUCACAUCAUCAAUACAUAAAUAAAUUCACCACAAUUAUAUAUAACUAAUGGCAUGAAUUCAUAAUCUAACUUCAUGUAAACACAUACUAUUCAUUAUAUUUCCAUAAUUAACCAAUUCUCAAUCAAUUUCCAAGAUAAAGAAGUUUGGAGAAAGUGUGGGUUCCUGAAGAAAUUCAAUAGAAACUCACAUUGAAAUCAUCAAUUAGACCACAUAUUAUCAUUAUAAUGAGUUUGAAAAUGUUUUCCAAUCAAACCCAAAUUAGAUUAGAAAGUAGUGUUUUGACUAUUGAUGAACUUUGAAAUGCAUUUUUAUUUGACUCCUUGAAUGAAAUAUUUAUCAAGGAUUACGGAUUACCAUCACUUAUACUUGAAGAAUCCCACAAAAUAGAAUUGAAAACUUGAAGAAAUUGACCUUGGAAACUUGAAAACCCCAACUCUAAAGGAGGUUCCUUCAGGGAGACUUUCAGAGAAGAAAGGUUUCUAAGUUUUUGAGUUUUGAAAAUAAUAAUGUGUAUAAUAGGUUUUAAACACUUGUAAUACUCUUUAAAUAUGUUAAUAUAACUAAAAUAACCGUCCAUGUACAUUAAAAUAUUUUACCAAUUCACCCUUCAGUUGGCCGAGCUAAAGACAAAUAUGUAGGUGAUAUCUACAGUUCCCCAUCCACGGACCAUGGAUGGGUUGAUUCCACGUACUGGUGUUCCAUUAUUUUUGUCACAGUCUGUUCCUUUGAGGCCUUGAUCCACGCCAAUGGUUAAUGAGUUGUAGAUCAAUCUACUGGUCAUGAAUGUGUCUCGUGAACCAAGCUGUUUUGACAACUUUUUGGGUAGAGUUAGGGUCCUCCCCAAGGAUCCCUUCGGUGGUAAUUGGGGUGUUCUACCAAGAAGUUUAACCCCUAAGAACAUUUUUCUAAUUAUAAUAUUCACUUCAAUUUUUUACACUUAAACAACACUCUAAACUUCACUGACAAGGCCUUAGAACACACUUACUCAAAUGACUAGUUUCCCGACCCUAUAGUCAUUUUUUGUUGUUUGACCUCAAUUCUCUUUAAACUAAAAUUAAAAAUCCAUUAAUCAUCAUUUCUAUCAAGUUCUCAAAUUCAAAAUCACAUGUGAGGCUCGAUUUCUUCCUAUAUAAUUUUUAGGACCGUUACGAUGUUAGGGUAUGCUAACAGUUAGGGUUAUGGUUCCAUUUAAGAACAAAUUACAUGAAAUAAUUGUGUAUCUUGAGAUCUGUGAAAUUGUACAUUGUUCAUAAAUGUUAAAGAUAUUGUAUAUUCAGUAUAUACAUGUGUUUAUAAUCGUGCUUGACUUUCUUAUGUUACACUUAGUAGGAUAGCCGCGUGAUCUUACCACUAAUCUCAGGUUAUGUACUAAUACUAUACUUGCCCUUAUUUUUCUUGAGUACAUGUAAUCUUCAAAUGGCUAUUGACACACCUAACUUAAAAGACCGGUGAACGUUUGAAUUCAAGGGUGAUCCAAUCUUUUGGGCUGGCAUGAGUCCUUCUUUCGUCUCUGUCCACCUUUCAUACUUAGACUUGUUCUAGUUAGUAUUAAUUUAAUAAGCUUAACUUAUACUCCUUUUUUAAAUAUAAUUUAACAAUUUUUAACACAUAGUUUAAUUAUCAUUUUAAAUUUAAUGUUACAAAUCAAUAAAACAUUUGAAACAUAGCAACAUAACUAAACCAAAAUUCUGAACUUCCUGUCAUCUUUGAGAUCAGACUUUUGUUUUUCCUUAAUCCCUAAGUAUUUUAUUCUAUGGAAAUGGAUCAAAAUGUUCUUAAAUUAAGUGAAAUGCAUAAAUUUUAUUCCACCAUUAAUAUUUUGAUCAAAUCAUACCCAUUAUUACUUAAUUUCCCAAAAAUAUCCUUAUUUCUCACCAAACAUAACAAAAAAUGAAUAAGUACAUAUUGGACCUAGUGUUAGAACGAAUGAACAAGAAUGAGAAAAUCACAAGGAAUACAAAAUAAAACAUUCGUGGCUUAAAGGCACAUUAAUACGUCUCUUGAAGAUAGUUGGAGUCUCUCCCACAAGCAAUCCGAAGAAUAAAUAACAAUUCUAUUUUUGGGAUUCAACUAAGCCACAAAACAAGUAGCAUUAAAGAAUGUUUCUCUUCUAUUAUUGAAUUGGUGAUUUCACCUUUUGAUUAAUGUCUCACAAGUGUUUUCAUGGGAAAGUACUUUUAUUUGAAUUCUUAUCUUUUUUAACCAAAAGAAACUCUUUUUAUAGGAUAAACAUUAUGCAAGAUAAAGACUUUUGAUUAAUAUAAUUUAUUAUAGGUUCAUGAAUUUAAAAUAAAGUUAUCUUUCCAAAUUAAUAACGUAGAGCCUCUUACAAAAUCCUAUAACGUAGAAUUAAAACAAAGAAGAAUGUGACAACUCACAUUCAUUAUUUUGUUAUUUUCAAAACUUUUAAUGGAUGAAUUUUAUUUCAAAAUUAAUUGAGGCACUAAUUCUUACAAUCCCCCACUUGUUUCAAGAAAUUUCAUCUUUGAAAAAUCCAAAAAAAAUUUUGAGACAUUAAUCUACAUGCGUCAAUACUGGUGUCUUUUAGACUUGAACCAUUAUCUAGUGAAGGUUUUCUAAAUCAUUGACUACUUAUUAAACAAAUCUUGAAUUAAGUGGUUUAUUGAAUGAAGUUAGAAAAAAAUACUCCACGCAUAUCACUAUAUUCCGGUGAAAAUCAAAAUCCUUUGGCACCUUACGGCCAUGUGUCAUGAAUCCUCUUAGCCAGAAACCUUAAAAAUCUUAUUGAAGCGGUGUCCACUUCGCACUUAGUGCAGUGAAUUCAUCAAGAGUAACUUUGCAUACUUUGACCAAAUAGUCUAUGAACUUCAUUAAGAGAAAAUUAAUCUCAUCCUCCUUUACAACAAAGUAUCGGUAAAUCUAUCAAGAGUAUUCCUAUGCACUCCAAUCGAAAUCGAUUUAUAGACUUAUUAAGAGGAUAUAAUCUCAUCCUUCACUUCAUUAGGAAUAUGAUUAACAUUUAUCAAGAGUUUUCUUACUAACUCCAAACGAGAUCGGUCUUAUAAAUUUAUUAAAAGAAAAGAAUCUCAAUCAUGUACUUCUACUUAUUUCAUUUUAUUUUGAAAAUGAAAGUUUUAUUGAUGUGUGUCACAAUUGUAACUUUAUUUGUUUUUCCCUUUGAACCCAUGAUUACAUCAUCAGGUAGGGUUACGAUAAAGUACAAUCAGUUUCCAACAGGGUUUAUUCCCAUACCAUUAUAGAUUUCAACUACUAACUCUUUGCCUAACCCUUUACACAAAGGAUUCGCUAAAUUAAAAUCUAGACUUUACAUAUUGAAGUGAUAUCACACCUUCCUCCAAUAAUCUCCUCAUAUUAUUUUGUUUGAGACAAACUUGUCUUGACUUGCCAUUAUAGCAGUCACUUGAAGCCCAAAAUAUAGUAGCUUGAUUAUCACAAUAAAUAGUUAAAGGUGGUAUGACUUACUCCAUAAAGGAAUAUCAAUCAACAAAAAUUGUAGCCAUUCAGCUUCUUCUCCAGCAGAAGACAUAGCUAUAAAUUUUGACUCCAUGUUUGAAUGAGUAAUACAUGUCUGAUUCUUUGAUUUCCAAAAGAUCGUUGCUCCAGCCAAAGUGAAAAUCAAAGCAGUAAUAGAUUUAGAGUCAUUCGGUUCAGAAUUCCAAGUAGCACCGCUAUAGCCUUCAAGAACAACAAGAAAUGUAGAGUAAUAUAGGCCAACAUUAAUUGUACCCUCCAAGUAUCUUAAAACACGAAUUAAGGCAUUCCAGUGUUCAACUCCAGGAUUACUAGUAAACUUGCUCAAAGUUCCUACUGUGUAACCAAUAUCAGGUUCGGUACAUAAGACUCCCAACAAUCUCAGAAUAUAUAAGCUGACCAAGAAUAUCACUAGAGUUCCGCAUAAGUUUGAUGCUAGGAUCAAAUGGUGUAGGAGCAGGUUUGACGUCAAAGUGACCAAACCUUUUUAGAAUUUUCCCAAUAUAACUUGAUUGAGUAAGAAUCAAGACAUUCGCCGAUCUCAUGAUUUUAAUGCCCAACAUUACAUAAACUUCUCCAAGAUCUUUCUUUUCAAAUUGAGAAGCUAUAAAUGAUUUUGUUUCUUUGACUCUUUCAAUAUCAGUUCCAAAGAUCAACAUAUCAUCUACAUAGAGACAUAUUAUAACACCUUUUUCUUCUUAAAUUUACUAAAUAUACAAAUAUCGCCACCAUUAAUUAAAUAGCCAUUAGAAAUUAUUACUCUUCUUAAUUUCUCAUUCCGUUGUUUUAGAGCUUGUUUGAUUCCAUAAAGAGAUCUAAGAAGCUUACAAACUUUGUGUUCUUGACGAGGAACGACAAAACAUUCUGGUUGUUUCACGUAAACCUCUUAAUCUAGAUCUCCAUUCAGAAAUGAAAUCUUCACAUCCAUUUGAUGUAUUACCAUACUAUGAAUUACGGUUAAAGCAAUUAAGAGUCGAAUAGAAGUCAAUUGGCUACAGGUGCAAAGGUAUCAAAAUAAUCAAUAUCUUUUGAUAUACCGUUAUUUCACGGUAUUUUUAAUGCUUUUUCCUUAUGUUUAGUGUGUGUCCAAAAGCCUUUUUGAAUUAAUUUUUAUGAAAGUUUCUCUUUAUUUGCACGAAAUCUGUCUAAAGAUGAAUGCAAAAGUUUUUUAGUAAGAAAUGCUAAAAAGUAUCACCUACGGAGCUUUUGACAGUCCAUCGUGCCUGUGACGAUCCGUAGGUGGCAUCGUAGUGAAGCUGCUGAAGGAAGAUGGGGAAGUCUGUGUUAUGCCUCGUAUUUUAUACGUAGUGCGCGUCAUGAACUAGUAGAUGUAAGUCCGGGAAAUGAGAUUUUAUUUUAAGUUCCAAGUGAUUAAAGAAAUAUUAGGCAAGGAUGUUAAUUCCAAAAGUGGUAUUAAGUAUGAUUUGGCUAAUGUAACUGCCAUUAACUUUAAGUGAGAGAUUAAUUAGUGGCUGAUUAGGAUUAAAUUAAUCUAGUGGGCCCCACCACUCAAGGCAAAUUAAAAGGAAUCAGAUUAGGAGCUGGCCUUAGUGGGACACGUGUAGAGGGGGUUUGCCUCCACUUCAUAUUAUAAAUGGGUGGUGAAAUGCAUUGCAACAUACCAUCUUCUUUUCCACUUGGCUUAGGCAGCCAUGGAAAUGGAGAAAACCAACCAUGUAACUCUUGGCCAGCAGUUACAAAGAAUUUGGUCAGUAAUCUCUUUGCUUGGUGUGUUAAUUCCUUAGAAUACCUUUGGUAAUUAGCCAUAAUGUUAAGAAGGGGGCGUAACCAAUAGCUUAGGAAGUUUUUUUUAGUUAUUGAAUGUGCUAAGUAUGAACGGAAACCAUAAUCGAAUUAUUAGUGGUGUCGUGUUAGUGUUUGGGCUGUUUUGAUUAAAGCAAACUGCGGGAAAUUUUGUUUUGGUGUUAUGUAUAUGUUAAUGUGAUUAUGGGUAUAUACUCCAAAGGAUGAAUACGAUAAGGUAGAUGUGUUUGCGAAUUAUAAAACAUGUUAUCGCUCGGUGUGUCGUUGCUUCGUUACUAUAGUUGCCGAGACGGAACUGUUUUGGGGGGGGGGGUCUGUUUAAUAUGAUUCGUUGGGAUAUAUGUGUUAUUGGUAUUGUUGUGAAUAAUUUGGGUUGUUGUCGGAUUGGGACGAAGUAAGGAAAACAGGGGAAGUGCUGCCAGAUUUUUGUUAGAUCAUUAACUAGCUUACAUAAGUAGUAAAGCGCGACGUUUCUCUGAUUGCGGCACGAUUGUAGCUUGUUAUUGAUUAAUAGCUUGAGCAAUAAAUAUUGGACGUGAGGCUCGGCUAUACGGUAUGUAAAGCUAUCUUUACUUUCUUUGGUUGGCACGACUUUUAAAAAUGAGAGAAUAACGGACAGGUUUGAUACUUACUUCUAGAGCGUCUAGGUGACAUAUAUUCUUGCCUCCACAACUAUUCCUCUAUAUAUCGGCCAUGUCUAAGGCUAUGAUGAUUUCUCAUAUCUAUGGUAGUGCUUGUUAGAGUCAUUGAGAUUUUAUGUUUCCAUAUCGUAUUAAAGGUUCAAAUACUUGAUACAACGUUAAUAUUUGGUAAUACUCCUUGCUGGUUCACGUUGAUUGUUCUAUUGAGUUAUAAGAAAUGAUUUUAAUUGCAUAUGGUUGGUCAGAAUAUUCUGCUCGUGCAUAGAGUCAUUUAUCAUUUCACCGAGUCCCGAGUCGGGUAAUGUUCGUACGGAGUUUCUAGCAUAUGUCACCGAGUCCCUCACUAGAGGGCAGGGUAUGUAUUUUAUAUAUAUGAUUGGUGAUGAGGAUGGUUAUGAUGAUGAUGAUGACGGAGAUGAUGUGAUGACUAUUUCACCGAGUCCCUCACUAGACGGCCGGGUACAUAUGAUGUAUAUAUAUGAUGAUUAUUUUGCCGAGUCCAUUACUAGGGAAGCUAGGCACCUUAUAUGUUAAAGAUAUGCAUGAUUUUCACUUAAAAGGUACAUGUGUUGCGAUAUCUUGUUUCGAAUUUUCAUGUUGGUAUCCUGUCAUCUUUCCCUUAUGCUUUACAUACUCAGUACAUUGUCCAUACUGACCCCCUUUCCUCGGGGGGCUGCGUUUCAUGCCCGCAAGUGUAGACGCACAGUUCGGUGAUCCUCCCGCCUAGGAUAUCUACUCUGCUGAUUGGGAGAGCUCCACUGUUUCGGAGCCCAGUCAUUUUGGUACGUAACUUUUUGUGUAGUCUUUUGCUUGUCUAUGGGUAUGGCGGGGCCCUGUCCCGUCGAGUUUCACUGCUAUCCUCUUAGAGGUCUGUAGACAUUAUGUGGGUUGCAAUAUGUUUUGGAUAACAGGAAGCUACAGGACAUUUAGGAUGUCAUCCUUCCUUCUUAUUCUAGAUCGUGCGAUAGAGCUAUAUAAAUAGGAUAAUCCCUAUCUAACGAAGUCUAUACUGUCGAACGCUCCUGCCAUUUUGCUUCAAAUGGAAGAAUCUAUCGACUCUAGCUCGCUUCAUCUCUGGAGGCAGGAAGUGGCCCUGGAAAGCCUCCACAAAUUCAUCCCAUACCGUUGGAGGAGCACCCUCACCCCUAGAUAACUUCCAAGACUCAUACCAAUUAAUAGCUACAUCCCGCAAAUGAUACGUAGCCAACUCAACAGACUAGAUCUCCGAAGCCUUGAGUAUCCUCAAUGUACGCUGCAUCUAACGAAUAAACUCUUGCGGAUCAUCCUGCGGCCUUGACCCAAAGAACUCUGGAGGAUUACAACUUAAGAAGUCACGAGCCCUUAAGCUAUCAGAUCUGUUCGCAUGAUCAACUCCUAGUCCAUCCCUGCGAGCCUGACCUGCCACUAAUCUAGUCAGCAACUGAAUCGCAUCUCUCAUGGCCCUAUCCUCCACCCCUGUCUGAGGAGCUGGAGGUUCAGGUGCUGGGGCCUCGGGGGCUGGUGGUGUCCCACGAACUGGAGCUGCUGCUGCUCUAAGCUCCUUUGGCGGUGGCAGUGUAGCAGAGCUCUCCGACUGGAGCAUAAUACUAGACAUAGACUGGGCACGGGCCCUAGUAACUCUCCGGGUCUGACUAGUACCUUCUACUACCGAUUUGCCCUUCUGGGCGGCUGUCGCUUUCUUUGGAGGCAUAGCUGAAAACACACGGAUUCGUUAGAGAGGGAUUAUCCUGUUAAUAUAGCUCUAUCGCACGAUCUAGAAUAAGAAGAAAGAAUGACAUCCUAAAUGUCAUGUAGCUUCCUGUUUAUAAAUGUGGUGCACAACCCACCGAUAAAGAAGACUCUACUAGACACGGUCUAUAGACACUUUCGAGGAAGAACCGCUCUAAUACCACUCUUUGUGACGACCCAACCCUAUGGGCCGUGACUAGUGCGCGUUUUGGACAUCCACAUAAAAACAUGCUAAGUAUAACCAACUGAAACUAAGACAAUAUGGAAUUUAAUCAAAUCAAGCCAACCCCAACGUCAUAUAUAUAUAAAGAGGACCUGUCUCAUAAGGAGUCAUAACCAUUCAACCGUAACAACAUACGCGAGCCGAAAAUGCCGCCACUAUCCAAAGCAUAAUAACAUACGUAAGCCGACAAGGCUGCUACUACACAAUACACAAUGAUGUACGCAGCCGACUAGGCUGCCCCUGUACAAGAGGACAUCCCAAACAUAUCAUGUCCAGACCAUUAUCCAAAACAUAUAUAUACACCCCACAUAAUGUCCACAAACCUCUAAGAGUACACUAGUGAAACUCGAUGGGACAGGGCCCCGCCAUACCCAUAGACGAGCAAAAGACUACACAAAAAGUUAUGUACCAAAACGACUGGGCUCUGGAACAGUGGAGCUCUUCCAAUCAGCAUAGUAGAUAUCCUAGGUGGGAGGAUCACCGAACUGUGCGUCUACAUCUGCGGGCAUGAAACGCAGCCCCCCGAGGAAAGGGGGUCAGUACGGACAAUGUACUGAGUAUGUAAAGCAUAAUGUAAAGAUGACAGGAUACCAGUAUGGCAAGUCGAAAAAAAAUAUUGCUACACAUGUACCCUUUUAAGUGAAAAUCAUGCAUAUCUUUAACAUAUAAGGUGCCCAGCUUCCUUAGUAAGGGGCUCGACAAAAUAAUCAUCACCUCAUCUCCGUCAUCAUCAUCAUCAUAACCAUCCUCAUCACCAAUCAUAUAUAUAAUAUAUAUACCCGGCCCUCUAGUGAGGGACUCAGUGACAUAUGCAAGAAAUUCCGCACGAACAUUACCCGGCCCGGGACUCGGUGAAAUGAUAAAUGACUCUAUACAGGAGCAGAAUAUUAUGAGCAACCACAUGCAAUUAAAAUCAUUUCUUAUAACUCAAUAGAACAAUCAACGUGAACCAGCAAGGAGUACCAAAGAUUAACGUUUUAUCAAGAUUAUGAACCUUUAAUACGAUAUGGAAACGUAAAAUCUCAAUGACUCUAAGAAGCACUACCAUAGAUAUGAGAAAUCAUCAUAGCUUUAGACAUAGCCUAUAUAUAGAGGAAUAAUUGUGGAAGCAAGAAUAUACGUCACCUAGACGCUCUAGAGGUAAGUAUCAAACAUGUCCGUUAUUCCCUUAUUUUUAAAAGUCAUGCCAAACAAAGAAAGAAGGGACAGCGUUACAUACCGUAUAGUCUAGCCGAACGUCCAAUAUUUACUGCUCAAGCUAUUAAUCUAUAACAAGAAACAAUCGUGCCGCAAUUAGAUAAACGUCGCGCUAUACUAUCUUGUAAGCAAGCUAAUAAUCUAACGAAAAUCCGGCAGCACUUCCCCUAUUUUCCUUACUUUGUCCCAAUCCGACAACAACCCAAAUUAUCCACAGCAAUACCAAUAACACAUAUAACCCAACGAAUCAUAUUAAACAUCCCCCUCCCCAAAACAGUUCCGUCUCGACAACCAUAGCAGCGAAGCAACGACACACCGAGCGAUAACUCGUUUUAUAAUUCGCAACACAUCUGCCUUAUCGUAUUCAUUCUUUGGAGUAUAUACUCAUAAUCACAUUUAACAUAUACAAAGUGCCAACACAGAAUUUUCCCGCAGUUUGCUUUAAUCAAAACAGCCCAAGCACCAACACGACACCACUAAUAAUCCGAUUAUGGUUUCCGUUCAUACUUAGAACAUUCAAUAACUAAAACAAACUUCCUAAGCUACUGGUCACGCCCCCAUCUUAGUAUUAAUGGAUAAUUAACAAGUUAUUCUAAAGAAUUAACACAUUAAGCAAGGAGAUUACUAACCAAAUUAUUUGCAGCUGCUGGCCAAGAGUUCCAGGGUUGGUUUCUCCAUUUCCAUGGCUGCCUAAGCCAAGUGGUGAAGAAGAUGAUAUGCAGCAAUGCAUUUCACCACUUUAUUUAGAAUGGAGUGGAUUUCUCAACCUCAUUUAUAAUAUGAAGUGGAGACAGCCCCCCUUUACACGUGUCCACUAAGGCCAGCUCCCAAUCUGAUCCCUUUUUAAUUUUUGCCUUGACUGGUGGGGCCCACUAGAUUAAAUUAAUCCUUAUCAGCCACUAAUUAUGAGUGGUGGGGCCCACUAGAUUAAAUUAAUCCUAAUGAGCCACUAAUUAAUUCCUCACUUAAAGUUAAUGGAACUUACAUUAGCCAAAUCAUACUUAAUAUCACUUUUGGAAUUAACAUCCUUGCCUAAUAUUUCUUUAAUCACUUGGAACUUGAAAUAAAAUCUCAUUCCACGGACUUACGUCUACUAGAUCAUGAUGCGCACUACGUAUAAAAAAUGCGAGGCAUAACACACGGCCCCCAGAAUACUACAGAGGCUAUGGUAAUAUAGCAGACUCCGAUGGGCCACUUGUCUUGCCCCCUCAACCAUCAAGCCACACCUUUGUGGUAACUAGUAGCCUGAUGCAAAUGCUCACUGCCAGAGGUUUGUUUUUAGGGAUACCUUCUGAGGAUCCAAAUGCCCACAUAGCUAAGUAUGGGCAGUGUGUAAAAGUUGUGUAGGGUGGCCUGACUUGGACUUGGAUGUAAUAGGGCUAAGAGUGUUUCCUCUCUCACUGACGGGAGAGGCUGCUAUUUGGUUCACUGAGCUCCCUUAUAACUGAAUUUUUACUUGGAACCAACUAAGGGAUGUUUUCAUAGCACGCUACUACCCGGUCUCCAAGAAACUGAACCACAAAGACAGAGUGAACAACUUUGUGGCACUACCAGGAGAGUCAGUUAAUAGUUCUUGGGAUAGAUUCACCUCAUUUUUUAGAAGCGUCCCAAAUCACCGUAUAGAUGAUGAGUCACUGAAGAAAUACUUCUAUCGGGGACAGGAUGAUAAUAAUAAAGCGGUGUUGGAUACUAUAGUAGGUGGUUCUUUUGGGAGUGUCCUUAUGCUGAGAUUGCCGAAAAGUUAGAUAAAAUCUCUCGAAACAAUAAAGCUUGGAGUACUAGACAAUCAGAUACUGGGAGAAAUACCUUCGCAGUACAAUCCACUCACAACCCAGCCACAGAUGAGAUUCAUGAAGAAAUGGCUCAGAUGAGAACUGAGCUUGGGUUGGUAUUAAAACAUAUCACUGGGGUGCGAAAAAGAUAAAUGCAGUUAACUACUUGUCUAUACCACCACCCACAAAUGUUGAAUGCUAUUAUGCGGAGGAUUUCUAUGCGGUAAACGAGUAGACGGGGGGUUUCCAACUGAGUGCCCAAGGCUCAAAUCAGGAGAAUUGGCGCUAAAGUCAAGGAAACCAAGGUCGGAUAUAUGGUAACUAUAACCAUGAGGGUCAUUAUGUCCGAGAUGGAAACUAUAACCGCGACAACAACUUCAACAGGGGUAACUAUGGUAACAGAAAUAAUAGGAAUGGGCUCUAUGUCCCUCCUCAAAAUCAUGAAGUUACUCCUAGGGAUAGUGGAGGUAGUAUGGCGCGAGUUGAGGAUAUGUUGCACAAGAUGAUGAGGAGGUUCAAUGCUAAUGAUGAGCACCUUAAAGAGAGUUAACAAGUGAUUUAGCGGGUAUUGGGCAUAAAGUCGAUACACAUGCAAUAUCGAUUAAGAAGAUCGAGUUGCAAAUGGACCAAUUAUCUACGACUGUGAACACAUGGCAACUGGGCACUCUUCCUAGAAAUACAGUCCAAAAUCGAAAAAAUGAUGCACACUGUAUGACAAUCAUUACUCAGGGUGGUAAGAAAACCAUUGACCCACCUAUGCCGUUUAAUGAGGAAAUGGUGAGAAAGGGUAAUGAUAAGGUGGUAGAGGGUAGUGGUGAAGUAGAAGAUAGCACUGGAAAAGAUGCUGAAGUACCUAUAAAGGUAAUUCCCAUGCCUAGACCACCACCCCCUUUCCUCAAAGAUUAGUGAAAAAGACUGAGGAAGGUAAAUAUCAGCGUUUUAUAAAAAUGUUGAAGCGGCUUUCUAUCAAUGUCUCUUUGGUAGAAGCUCUAGCACAAAUGCCCGGUUAUGCCAAGAUUAUGAAAGAUGUUAUUACAAAGAAAAGAUCGGACACUUUCAAGGAUGAUUAUAGAAUGCAACAUUGUAGUGCUAUUGUUACAAGAUCUCUCGUACAAAAGAAAGAAGAUCUUGGUGCAUUCACUAUUCCUUGUAUAAUCGGUUCAUUACAUUUUGCGAAAGCAUUAUGUGAUAUGGGGCAAGCAUAAAUCUCCUGCCCCUCUCUACUUACAAGAAGCUGGGUUUGGGUGACCCAAAGCCCACUGCGAUAAGGCUACUGAUGGCCGAUCGAACAGUGAAAAGGCUUAUAGGGAUACUCCACGAUGUGCUAGUAAAAGUGGAGUCGUUCAUAUUUCCAACAGAUUUUGUUAUCAUUGAUUGUGAAGUCGAUUUUGUAGGUCCAUGAGGCAGAGUGGUGAGCUCCAAUCAGUAUCUGCUAUACUCUACAAAGAAAAGAUGAAGAAGGAUUAUGACCUAAAAAGUGGAAAACAAGAGUUUAUGGUUGGGGUUGUGUUGACUUACGGGCAAGCUCAAGUCCAAAUGGACUGGCACUUACUUGAUUACCCAAUUAUUCCCUCAUGGAGCAGUUGAGUUAGAAAUCAAGGAGGGAGUGAGGUUUAAAUGGAGAAUGAAUAAAACUCUAUUUUGGGCAUACUUAAUCGGCAAAUAAAGUGAUCGAGGCAUACCAUCUUGACGAAGGAUGAGUGAUCAAGUGUCCUCAGUCAUGCCGCGAUGUUAAAUCAGGCGCUCGUUGGGAGGCAACCCAACACUUAUAGUAUUUAUUUCUAGUAAUGAUAGCAUUUUCUACUAAUGGUUUUUAAAUUUGUAGGCACAUCACCAGGAAAUUCUGCAGAAAAUAACUCUGCAGCAAAAACUGAUGGACCCAUCGAUGACCCGUCACAAACGUGACGGACCAUCACAUGAAUCCAUCGUGCAGGUAUGUCUUUCAGUUAUUUUAAAAACUAGGGCACACGCGAUGGAACAAAUGACAGAGCGUCGCAAUUGCGAUGGAGCGUCAUCGGGAAUCAUCGCGUCAUUAAUGAGCUUACCCGACCCGACCCGGUUGGGAACUUUUAAAAAAUUUCAACCUAUAAAACCCCCCACCCCUUCAUUUGAAAGGUUUUUCCCUCUUUCUCCCAUUCCCUCCCUCUUAAAAUUCCCACUUCCUACCUCUCUUUCAACCGAUCAUUUCCCCAAAUUCCCCAAUUCCUAAAAUCCACUCUUUACUAAGCGGAGUCUGCUGUUGUUGUUCUCUUCCUUAUAACUAAGAACUUUCCUCGCUUGUUUUUCUCAAAUUCUCAUGUAUGUGUCUCUGAUUUCUACCCAUUUACAUUGCAUUUUUGUUUAUCAAUUAGUAUUAGCCUAUUUCUUAUUGAUGGUUCAUUCUUUAAUACAAAUUAUGUCUGACCUAGGUUGAGAAUCCUCAAAAUUGCCUUGUUAAAACACUAGAAAUAGAUGCUUUAGCAUUACUAGUUUACUAGGUAUUUGGGUUAGACACAUGUAGGUUAAACACUAAAAAUUCCAUUUGGGUCAUAGUGGAUGAUUGUGGCAUCCCUAAAUCUAUCACUGAAUGACAAAAUGAGACUCCGAUAACAGACCGUCGUACCCACGAUGGACCGUCAUAGGGUCCGUCCAACAUCCCUAACACCCCACUGUCCAAUUUUCUCUAAGUGUCCACCAACGGACACAUGUGAUGGACCAUCGUUCCCACGAUGGUCCAUCCUGCACAACCGUUCUGGUUAUAAGAGACCCUAUUCCUAAGGGUCUCUCACUUUUUCUAAGUAUCCUACAAUGGACACAUGCGACGGAUCGUCAUUCCCACGAUGGUCCGUCAUGCACAACCGUUCUGGUUGUCAGAGACCCUACUCCUAAGGGUCUCUCACUUUUUUUAAGUGUCCUUGUACAGACAUAUACGCCGGACCGUCAUACCCUCGACGGUCCAUCCUGCACAAUCGUUCUGGUUGUCAGAGACCCUGUUCAUAAGGGUCCCAACUUUUUCCAAGUGUCCUCUUAGGGACAUAUACUACGGACCAUCAUACCCUCGACGGUCCAUCCUACAUAACCGUCAUGACGGUCAGAGACCCCUCUCCUAAGGGUCUCCAACUUUUUCUUAGUGUCCUCUUACAAAUAUCUACGACGGACCGUCAUACCCUCGACCAUCCGUCCUGCACAAAUUGUCAUUACGGUCAAAGACCCCUCUCUAAGGGUCCCCAUACAUGUUCUAAGUGUUCCGUGACGGACAUCGAUGACGGACCGUCAUCAUCACGACGGUGCGUCCUGCUUAUCUAUCAUAACUGUCAGAGACUUUCCUUCAGGGUCUUCUUAUAAACAUAGUUUUAAGUAAGACAUGACGGACCCCAUGACGGUCCGUCGUACUCACGAUGAACCGUCACCUGGUCCGUCGUGUUUCACUGUUACUAUAGAAAAGUCAAUACAACUUAGCUCUUAUAUUUAUUUUGUUUUGUUUUUGCUCGUCUUGUUCGCUCCUUCUUGUACUAAUAUUGAUUCUUUACAGAAACUAUCUACUAUGGCACCAAAACAAGAUCGAGUUUAUGCACGUAGGUGAUCAAAGUUUGUCGCCCCAUCUUCCCGCCUGGUCAUUGGCUCUGAUGAUGAGCGUGACCCCGAGUACGUGCCCGCAAGCACUUCCACUCCAUCCCGAGAUGCCCGUGCUGCUAGAGCCACAUCCAAAAAGGUGGCGUCUAACGUAGUCACUGACUCUCAGUCUGAUGAGGAGUGCACACUGAUCGACACACCUUCUGGGUCAGCUACUCAUAAAGAAGGAGCGUCUGGCUCAUUAGGAGUUUCGUAAUCGGAGGAAGCCUGCGGAUCUACUGAAGUCCCUGCACCCGCCAUAGCUGCACAGUCUUCCUCGUUUGAUGAGGCUGACAGUUGUGAAUCCACUCCCGGUUCACCAACUCGUGCUCUCACCCCAGUUGCCGAUCAGCCCAACCGGUGGUGUGUCGACGGGCAAUAUCAAGUUUAUUCAGACACAAAGUUUCUGAAUGAGAAAGGAGUCAUGACACGGACCAUUACAUUGGAGAGGCGGGUCCUUAUGGGAAGUCUCCCUACUAUGCCAGAGAUCCACAAUCUCUUAACCAGACACCGACUAGCACAUUGAUCAGCUCAAGACCCUGCUCGGCACUAUUGAGAUCGGCCUCAUCAGGGUUGAGGCAAAUGAGUUGGCUCCAUGCAGGGGGCCCCGUCCAGAGUUGCCUCCACUUGGUUACAAUCUGACUGAUACGGUAGCACAGGAUCGCACGGCUACGCAAGCUGCUUCUAAAACCACUGAAACUACCCCGGUCGAGUCUAUCCCAGGUAGUAGCAUUGCCCCGAGCUCCUCUCGCUGAACCCCUUUCCCUGCUUUGGCCCUGCUUUCUAAGGUCUAGAAAUUAGAGGCACAGAUGGCUACACUUCUGCAUCACAUCUAGCCUUGGAUGUAGAGGACUAUUGCUGAGGUAGAAGAGCGCUUGGAGCGGAGAAUGGUCCUGCACACAGAGCGGAAGAUCGCUGAGGUUCAUCAGCGCUUGGACGCUUUUGAGUUGAGGGUGCUAGCCGGGACAGCCCCUCAGGUGGAUGUGUCAACCCUUCAGGCUGCGGUCAAGAGUCUUCGUGCAGAUAUUGAUAUGAUUCUAGAGUCUAGGGUGCCUGAGUAUGAGGCCCUUCUAUAGAGCCUAUUGAGGACACAGUGAUGGCGGCUUUAUUCGCCAGUUCUGAGAUUCCACCACCUCCCCUCCAGAGAAUGCCAAGAGGCAUAGGGGUCGAGACGAGGAUGAGGCUAGAGCACGGUAGAUGGAGGGCUUUGAGAUGGAGGCUGCGAGGAGAGCCUCGCUUGCUGAUGAGGAGUCGCGUUGGAUGAGGGCUGUAGAGGUAGCUGCUGGGCAUCUAGCUCCAGAAAUGUGAAAAUAGCGGGAGGCACUGCUGAUAGUGAUGUUGCUGAUGAGGACACUACUGAGGGUGUCCAGAUUACAGAGGUAGUGGGUUCCGGGCGACCGAACCCACCAGCUUGCUGAUUGUCGGCGCUUUGCGCCCCAGGUUUGCUUCACCUACCACUUUCGUAUUUCAAUUUUUGUAUGCAUUGGGGACAAUUGCAUGUAUUUUUUUUUGGUGGUGGGUUAAAUUAAAAGUGAGUGCUAGGGUGAAGUCUGAGUAGCCCAAUUCACUAUCCUCUUUUGGGGUUUUCUUGCCUGUGAUCUUUUUCCCCAAGAGACUGAUUAUUUUUACUGUUGAACCGGCAUGUCUAUAUCUUGUGUACAUAGUUUAACUCUGAAGCAUGAUGGAUAAAAUGAUAUCCUAAUGAAAUGAAAAUGAUGCAUGACUAGGCAUAGUAAUUGAUAAAUGUGUGGCUCUAAGAAUGACAUAGAGAUACACCACUACAUGACCCUAAGUCUAAAAUUCAAACUAGGUGUCUGAUAAUCUGGUAGAGUUAUGAGAUGUCAAGUGAGUGUGAGGAAGAUUUGAAUAGUCCACUAUUUGUACUGAGCUAGAACUUGCCUGGUUAGUCCUGCUAAAAGUAAGCUAUAAUAGACAAUUAAAAAAGGAUCAUAGGCCCUUGUUCAAUAUAGCCCAUUUUUAGCCUAAAUAAAAAAAACAAAUGAAUUUAAUCCUUCUUUGACCCAAAUGAUUUGAGCUUAAACUAGACCUUUCUUUUUCACCCCAAUUGAUCUUUUAUGGGAAUAAUGUGUUGGCCCUGGUCCCUCCUUGGACAUGUGCACCUUAGCUUAUGCCAAAAGCAUAAGUUGAGAGUGGCUAAUGCCGUAAAUACCCUCUUUAUGGCCCAGCCCAACUUUGGGUAUUGUGUACUUUGACUAAUGGCAAAGCCUCUAUUAUCAGGAAUGCUCUGGAAAGUGGAGUUGAAAGAACAAAGAGAGAGAAAGAGCAAAAGUAAAGUGACUCAAGAACCAGUUGAAAGAAAAGUGAAAUUAAAAAAACAUAAAAAAAUAAAAAAAUAUAAUAAAUACAAGCAAGAAAAUAGGAGAGUCACUUACACAAAUGAAGAAAGAAGGGAAAAUAGCAAGGUUAAAGGAUAUGAGAAACUGAGCGAAAUAAAAUUAUAAAAAGUAGUAUGUUCAGCCGAUAUGUCAAGGAGGGCAAAAAGUCACUAAAGUAUACCUAAAUAUACCCUACCUGACCAUGAGCCUAUGUUACAAGCUAAAAAAGUCCUAUAGUGAUGUUAAAAGUUGUAUAGAGAACUUAAAGUAGUGAAAAUAAGGGCAAACUUAUGGAAAUAUGUAUGAUUGAGUUGUGAAUCUGUUCUGAGAGUCAGUGUUGAAAAGUAAUCCUUAUACUCAAACUAAAAUCAUUGUGUGAAAAAUGAGGAUAUUGUUUUGAAGUGAGGUACUAGUUGCAAUACCGAAAAUAUUAGCACCUCGGCGAGAAAUUGAAGAGGAUAGGUGUUAGUGUGUGGUGAGUUUGUGUCAUGGUCUGAUUCCACAUAAUUCAAGCCUAAUAGUGAUAGCAUGCAUAAAUAUGAUGAGAAUGAUCAGGAUUGAUAGCCAAAUGAUUGCGACAGAUAAGACAUGGAUACUAUUUACAAAGAUUUUGUAAUGAGUCAUAGUGCGUCGCUUGAGGACAAGCAACAAAUUUAAGUUGAGGGUGUUGAUAUACCGUGGUUUCACGGUAUUUUUAAUGCUUUUUCCUUAAGUUUAGUGUGUGUCCAAAAGCCUUUUUGUAUUAAUUUUUAUGUAAGUUUCUCUUUAUUUGCAGGAAAUCCGUCUAAAGAUGAAUGCGAAAGUUUUUGAGUAAGCAAUGCAGAAAAGUAUCACCUACGGAGCUUUUGACAGUCUGUCGUGCCUGUGACAAUCCCUAGGUGGCAUCAUAGUGAAGCUGCUGAAGGAAGAUGGGGAAGUCUUUGUUAUGCCUCGUAUUUAAUACGUAGUGCGCGUCAUGAACUAGUAGAUGUAAGUCCGGGGAAUCAGAUUUUAUUUUAAGUUCCAAGUGAUUAAAGAAAGAUUAGGCAAGGAUGUUAAUUCAAAUUUGGUAUUAAGUAUGAUUUGGCUAAUGUAAGGGCCAUUAAUUUUAAGUGAGAGAUUAAUUAGUGGCUGAUUAGGAUUAAAUUAAUCUAGUGGGCCCCACCACUCAAGGAAAAUUAAAAGGAAUCAGAUUAGGAGAUGGCCUUAGUGGGACACGUGUAGAGGGGGGUUGCCUCCACUUCAUAUUAUAAAUGGGUGGUGAAAUGCAUUGCAACAUACCAUCUUCUUCACCACUUGGCUUAGGCAGCCAUGGAAAUGGAGAAAACCAACCAUGCAACUCUUGGCCAGCAGUUGCAAAGAAAUUGGUUAGUAAUCUCUUUUCUUGGUGUGUUAAUUCCUUUGAAUACCUUUGUUAAUUAACCAUUAAUGUUUAAGAAGGAGGUGUGACCAGUAGCUUUGGAAGUUUAUUUUAGUUACUGAAUGUGCUAAGUAUGAACGGAAACCAGAAUCGGAUUAUUAGUGCUGUCGUGUUAGUGUUUGGGCUAUUUUUAUUAAAGCAAACUGCGGGACAUUUUGUUUUGGCGUUAUGCAUAUGUUAAUGUGAUUAUGGGUAUAUACUCCAAAGGAUGAAUACGAUAAGGUAGAUGUGUUGCAAAUUAUAAAACAAGUUCUCGCUCGGUGUGUCGUUGCUUCAUUACUAUGGUUGCCGAGACGGAACUGUUUUGGGGGGGGGGCGCUUUUUAAUAUGAUUCGUUGGGAUAUAUGUGUUAUUGGUAUUGCUAUGGAUAAUUUGGGUUGUUGUCGGAUUGGGACGAAGUAAGGAAAAUAGGGGCAGUGCUACAGGAUUUUCGUUAGAUUAUUAGCUCACUUACAAUAGGUAGUAAAGCGCGACGUUUAUCUAAUUGCGGCACGAUUGUUGCUUGUUAUAGAUUAAUAGCUUGAGCAGUAAAUAUUUGACGUGCGGCUCGACUAUACUGUAUGUAACACUAUCCUUUCUUUCUUUAUUUGGCAUGACUUUUAAGAAUGAGCGAAUAAUGGACAGGUUUAAUACUUACUUCUAGAUCGUCUAGGUGACAUAUAUUCUUGGUUCCACAACUAUUCCUCUAUAUAUCGGCCAUGUCUAAGGCUAUGAUGAUUUCUUAUAUCUAUGGUAGUGCUUCUUAGAGUCAUUGAGAUUUUACGUUUCCAUAUCGUAUUAAAGGUUCAUAAUCUUGAUAAAACGUUAAUUUUUGGUAAUACUCCUUGCUGGUUCACGUUGAUUGUUCUAUUGAGUUAUAAGAAAUGAUUUGUCAUUUAUCAUUUCACCGAAUCCCGGGCCUGGUAAUGUUCGUGCGGAGUUUCUUGCAUAUGUCACCGAGUCCCUCACUAGAGGGCCGGGUAUGUAUAUUAUAUAUAUGAUUGGUGAUGAGGAUGCUUAUGAUGAUGAUGAUGACGAAGAUGACGUGAUGAUUAUUUUGCCAAGUCCCUUACUAGGGAAUCUGGGCACCUUAUAUGUUAAAGAUAUGCAUGAUUUUCACUUAAAAGGGUGCAUGUGUAGCGAUAUUUUGUUUCGACUUGCCAUAUUGGUAUCCUGUCAUCUUUACCUUAUGCUUUACAUAAUUAGUACAUUGUCCGUACUGACCCCCUUUUCUUGGGGGGCUGCGUUUCAUGCCCGCAGGUGUAGACGCACAGUUCGGUGAUCCUCCUGCCUAGGAUAUCUACUCUGCUGAUUGGGAGAGCUCCACUGUUCCGGAGCCCAGUCAUUUUGGUACAUAACUUUUGUGUAGUCUUUUGCUCGUCUAUGGGUAUGGCGGGGCCCUGUUCCAUCGAGUUUCACUAAUGUACUCUUAGAGUUCUUUGGACAUUAUGUGGGUUGUAUAUAUAUAUUUUGGAUAAUGGUGUGGACAUGGUUUGUUUGGGAUGUCUGCUUGUACAGGGGCAGCCCUUUCGGCUGCGUACAUCAUUGUGUAUUAUGUAGUGGCAGCCUUGUCGGCUUACGUAUGUUAUUAUGCUUGGAAUAGUGGCGGCCUUGUCGGCUCGCGUAUGCUGUUAUGGUUGAAUGAUUAUGACUCCUUAUGAGACAGGUCCUCUUAUAUAUAUAUGACGUUGGGGUUGGCUUGAUUUGAUUAAAUUCCAUAUUGUCUUAGUUUUAGUUGGUUAUACUUAGCAGGUUUGUAUGUGGGUGUCCAAAACGGGCACUACUCACGGCCCAUCGGGUUUGGUCGUGACAAAGAGUGGUAUCACAGCGGUUCUUCCUCGGAAGUGCCUACAGACCGUGUCUAGUAGAGUCUUGUUUAUCGAUGUGUUGUGCACCACAUCUAUAAACAGGAAGCUACAGGACAUUUAGGAUGUCAUUCUUUCUUCUUAUUCUAGAUCGUGCGAUAGAGCUAUAUAAAUAGGAUAAUCCCUCUCGAACGAAUCCGUGUGUUUUCAGCUAUGCCUCCAAAGAAAGCGACAGCCGCCCAGAACGGAAAAUCGGUAGCAGAAGGUACUAGUCAGACCCGGAGAGUUACUAGGGCCCGUGCCCAGUCUAUGCAUGGUAUUAUGCUCCAGUCGGAGAGCUCUGCUACACCACCACUGCCAGCGGAGCUUAGACCAGCAGCAGCUCCAGUUCGGGGGACACCACCAGCCCCGAGGCCCCAACACCUGAACCUCCAGCUCCUCAAUCAGGGGCGGAGGAUAGGGCCAUGAGAGAUGCAGUUCAAUUGCUGACUAGAUUAGUGGCAGAUCAGGCUCGCAGGCAUGGACUAGGAGUUGAUCAUGCGGACAGAUCUGAUAGCUUAAGGGCUCCUGACUUCUUAAGUUGUAAUCCUCCAGAGUUCUUUGGGUCAAGGCCCCAGGAUGAUCCGCAAGAGUUUAUUCGUCAGAUGCAGCGUACAUUGAGGAUAAUCAAGGCUUCAGAGACCGAGUCUGUUGAGUUUGCUACGUAUCAUUUGCAGGAUGUAGCUAUUAAUUGGUAUGAGUCUUGGGAGUUAUCUAGGGGUGAGGGUGCUCCUCCAGCGGUAUGGGAUGAAUUUGUGGAGGCUUUCCAGGGCCACUUCCUGCCUCCAGAGAUGAAGCGAGCUAGAGUCGAUAGAUUCAUGCGUUUGAAGCAAAAUGGCAGGAGCAUUCGAGAGUAUAGCCUCGAGUUUGAUUCAUUGGCUAGGCAUGCGCCUACUAUUGUGGCUGAUAUGGCAGACAGGGUACAUCGUUAUGUGAUGGGAUUGGAUCGUUAUAUGAUUGAUGGUUGUAUGGCAGUGACUCUUCAGCCAGGUAUGGAUAUUGCUCGGGUGCAGGCAUAUGCACAGGGUGUAGAGGAUCGGCACCGGGAACGUCAGCUAGAUAGAGAUUAUAAUAGAGGCCAGCAUAAGAGGGCUAGAUCAGCAGGUUAUCCUGAGGAGUUUCGAAGCGGGCAGUCUCAGCAGCAUGUUAGAUUUUCUUCCCAGCCAGCACAUAGUACACCCCCACGUUUCAUGAGUAGGGGGUUCGAUCGUACGGGAUAUUCGGAAGCUGGUCAGAGCUCUAGGGCAUCCGGGUCACAGAUGGGCAGGGGUUUGAGCCAGUCGAGGCCACCUUUGCCUCAGUGUUCUUGUUGUGGUAGAUCCCAUCCUAGGGAAUGUCGUUGGGCAAAAGGUGCAUGAUUUUCUUGCGGCCGUCAGGGCCAUACUAUGAGAGAGUGUCACCUUAGAGGUAGUGCAGGUGGUAUGGCACUGUCUACCGAGUCUGUUACUGGUUCAUCUUCUUCUGUGGCUAUGCGCCCUACGGGGCAGGGUAUUCAGGCGCCAGCAGGCCGUGGUAAAGGACGUGGUGGAGUUUCCAGUUCUAGCGGUCCCUCAAACCGUAUAUAUGCUUUGACUAAUAGGCAGGAUCAGGAGGCGUCACCUAAUGUGAUCACAGGCAUAUUAUUACUAUUCUCUCGAAGUGUGUAUGCAUUGCCCAGGUUCCACCUUAUCAUAUAUAUCUCCCUUUGUUGCUAGUAGGAUCGGAAUAGAGUCUGAGUUGAUAGAACCAUUUGAGGUAGCUACACCUGUAGGAGAUUUUGUCAUAUCUACGCGAGUAUAUAGGAAUUGUUCAGUAGUUAUAUAUAGUCGUCGUACCAUAGCAGAUCUGAUUGAGUUAAAUAUGAUUGAGUUUGAUAUUAUCAUGGGCAUGGAUUGGUUGGCUUCUUGUUAUGCUAAUGUUGAUUGCAGAGGAAAGAUAGUUCGAUUUCAAUUUCUAGGGGAACCGAUUAUAGAGUGAAAGGGAAGUACAGUAUCGCCGAAAGGUAAGUUCAUUUCAUACCUAAGGCCGGGAAGAUGGUUAGAAAAGGCAAUGUUUACCAUCUGAUUCGGGUGCAUGACAUAAAGGAAGAGGCACCGACUCUUCAAUCAAUCCCGGUAGUUAAUGAAAUUCUCGAUGUAUUCCCCGAGGAACUUCCAGGCCUUCCUCCAGAAUGGGAGAUAGAGUUUACUAUAGAUGUACUGCCAGAUACCCAGCCUAUAUCUAUACCUCCUUAUAGAAUGGCACCUGUUGAGUUGAAAGAAUUGAAAGAGCAAUUGAGGAUUUGCUAGAAAAGGGCUUCAUCAUGCCUAGUACGUCACCUUGGGGAGCACCGUACUGUUUGUGAGGAAGAAAGAUGGGUCGCUGCGGAUGUGCAUUGAUUAUAGGCAGUUGAACAAAGUAACAAUAAAGAACAGGUAUCCCCUCCAAAGGAUUGACGAUCUAUUUGACCAGUUGCAGGGUGCAAAGUGUUUUCAAUGAUAGACUUGUGGUCAGGUUAUCAUCAGGUGCGGGUAAGGGAGGCAGAUAUUCCAAAGAUGGCAUUCCGGACCCGAUACAGGCAUUAUGAGCUUUGAGUGCUGUCUUUUGGGCUGACUAAUGCUCCAGCGGUGUUUAUGCAUUUCAUGAAUCGAGUAUUUAAACAUUCCUUGAUAUGUUUGUUAUUGUAUUUAUAGACGAUAUUCUGGUCUAUUCACGUUCAGAAGAGGAGCAUGCAGACCAUUUAAGGACGGUACUAAGGGUGCUUCAGCACCAGAAGUUGUAUGCUAAAUUUUCUAAGUGCGAGUUCUGGUUGACUUCAGUGGCAUUCUUGGGGCAUAUUAUUGGAGCUGAUGGUAUUCGGGUAGACACGUAGAAGAUUGAGGCGGUAAAGACUUGGCCCAGAGCUACGACACCUACUGAGGUAUCUGGGGUUAGCAUGAUAUUAUAGGAAAUUCGUAGAAAAGCUUGCCUCAAUUUCAGUGCCUUUGACAAGGCUAACUCAAAAGGCAGCCAAGUUCCAGUGGACUGAUGCUUGUGAGCAAGGCUUCAAGCUAUUGAAAGACAAAUUGACUAGGGCUCCAAUCCUAACUCUUCCGGAGGGACCAGACGGCUAUGUUAUUUAUUGUGAUGCUUUGGGUGUUGGGCUAGGAUGUGUAUUGAUGCAGCAUGGCAAAGUUAUAGCCUAUGCCUCACGACAGCUUUGGAAGCAUGAAAAGAACUAUCCUACUCACGUUCUGGAGAUAGUGGUCGUGGUUCAUGCCUUGAAGAUGUGGAGUCAUUAUUUAUAUGGUGUCCAUGUGGACAUCUAUACAGAUCAUAAGUGUCUCCAAUAUAUCUUUAAACAGAAGGAGCUGAACUUACGACAGAGGCGGUGGUGAGAGUUGCUAAAGGAUUAUGAUGUUGAUAUUUUAUAUCAUCCAGGGAAAGCGAAUAUUGUAGCAGAUGCUCUUAGCCGUAAGUCCAUGGGUAGCUUGACAGAUGUACAACCACAAAGGAGGGAUAUGGUUCGGGAGAUUCAGCGGCUAUCCAGCCUUGGAGUCCGUUUGGAUAACUAAGAAGAUAGUGGAGUUUCUAUUUGAGAGGUUGCUGAGUCCUCAAUCAUAGAUGAGGUAAAGAGACACCAAUACAAGGACCAUAUUCUGGCACAGUAUAGAGAUGCAGCUCUUUAAAAGGAAAAGACCCCAUUUAAGGUUACACCUGACGGAGUGUUACGAUAUGAAGGCAGAUUGUGUGUACCCGAUAUUGCGGGGCUACGACGGCAGGUUAUGGGAGAGGCACACUCUGUCUAUUAUUCUAUUCACCCAGGGUCAAGAAAAUGUAUCAUGACCUCAAAUGCUUAUAUUGGUGGGAUGGCAUAAAAAAGACAUAGCGGAGUUUGUUGCUCAGUGCCCGAAUUGUCAACAAGUCAAGAUCGAACAUCAAAAGCCUGGUGGAUUAUUACAGGAGAUAGAGAUCCCGACUUGGAAAUGGGAGAUGAUUAAUAUGGACUUCAUUACAGGCUUACCUCGCACUCAACGGAAGUAUGACUCUAUAUGGGUUAUUGUAGAUAGGCUGACGAAAUCGGCCCAUUUUCUUCCAGUCAGGACUACUUAUUCGGCUGAAGAUUAUGCGAGGUUAUAUGUCAGGGAGAUAGUGAGACUUCAUGGGGUUCCCACGUCCAUUAUAUCAGACAGAGGAGCUCAAUUUACAGCAAACUUUUGGAGAUCGUUUCAGAAGGGAUUGGGGACACAGGUGAACCUUAGCACAACAUUUCACCCUCAGACUGAUGGGCAGGCUGAGCGUACUAUUCAGACAUUAGAAGAUAUGUUGCGGGCCUGUAUUAUUGACUUCAAAGGUAGCUGGGAUGACCACUUGCCGCUCAUUGAGUUUGCCUAUAAUAAUAGCUACCAUUCUAGUAUCCAGAUGGCACCGUACGAGGCCUUAUAUGGGAGGAAGUGCAGAUCACCUAUUGGUUGGUUUGAUGUUGGCGAGACUAAGUUAAUAGGCCCGGAUGUGAUUCAGCAAGCUGUUGACAAGGUGAAGCUUAUUCAAGAAAGAUUAUUAGCAGCCCAGAGUCGACAGAAGUCAUAUGCAGAUAAUCGGCGUCGAGAUUUGGAGUUUCAGAUUGGGACUGGGUAUUCCUGAAGGUAUCACCCAUGAGAGGUGUAAUGAGAUUCGGCAGGAAGGGGAAGCUCAGUCCGAGAUACAUUGGGCCUUAUCAGAUUGUUCGUAGGAUAGGCAAGGUUGCCUAUGAGUUGAAUCUACCAUCUGAUUUGGAGGCGGUACAUCCAGUCUUCCAUGUAUCGAUGCUACGUAAAUGUAUUGGUGAUCCUUCUAGAGUAUUCCCCGUAGAUGAUGUUCAGGUAACAAAGGAGUUGUCAUAUAAGGAGAAACCCGUAGCUAUACUUGAUCGCCAGGUUAGAAGGUUACGUACAAGGAUGUGGCUUCCGUCAAAGUGUUGUGGCAAAAUAAUAAUAGGGAGGAGAUGACUUGGGAAGCGGAAGACGAAAUGAAGAAUAAGUAUCCUUACUUGUUCCCCGUACCUGCAGGUAAUUCAAUUCCUAGCUUGACUAAAUUGAUUAUAAACGAGAUUAUGUAGUAAGUUAUGACUCUGUGAGGCAUCUGUAAGUUACGGAAUGCAGGUUGAUAGGUAUAACUGUUAGAGAGACCUCGCUGGAAUUUGUUUUUGUAAGACGCUAACUUAAAAUUCGAGGAUAAAUGUUCCUAGGGGGGAAGGAUGUUAUGCCUCGUAUUUUUUUUAUACGUAGUGCGCGUCAUGAUCUAGUAGACGUAAGUCCGGGGAAUGAGAUUUUAUUUUAAGUUCCAAGUGAUUAUAGAAAUAUUAGGCAAGGAUGUUAAUUCCAAAUGUGAUAUUAAGUAUGAUUUGGCUAAUGUAAGUGCCAUUAACUUUAAGUGAGGGAUUAAUUAGUGGAUGAUUAGGAUUAAUUUAAUUUAGUGGGCCCCAACACUUAUAUUUAGUGGCUGAUUAGGAUUAAUUUAAUCCAGUGGGCCCACCACUUAUAAUUAGUGGCUGAUUAGGAUUAAUUUAAUCCAGUGGGCCCACCACUCAAGGCAAAAAUUAAAGAGGGAUCAGAUUGGGAGCUGGCCUUAGUGGACACGUUUAGAGGGGGGCUGCCUCAACUCAUAUUAUAAAUGAGGUGGAGAAAUCCACUCCAUACUAAAUAAAUUGCUGCAUAUCAUCUUCUUCACCACUUGGCUUAGGCAGCCAUGGAAAUGGAGAAACCAACCCUGCAACUCUUGGCCAGCAGCUGCAAAUAAUUUGGUGAGUAAUCUCCUUGCUUGGUGUGUUAAUUCUUUAGAAUACCUUGUUAAUUAUCCAUUAAUAUUAAGAAGGGGGCGUGACCAGUAGCAUAGGAAGUUUGUUUUAGUUAUUGAAUGUGCUAAGUAUGAAUGGAAACCAUAAUCGGAUUAUUAGUGGUGUCGUGUUGGUGCUUGGGCUGUUUUGAUUAAAGCAAACUGUGGGAAAAUUCUGUUUGGUGUUGUAUAUGUUAAAUGUGAUUAUGAGUAUAUACUCCAAGGGAUGAAUACGAUAAGGUAGAUGUGUUGCGAAUUAUAAAACGAGUUAUCGCUCGGUGUGUCGUUGCUUCGCUGCUAUGGUUGCCGAGACGGAACUGUUUUGGGAGGGGGCUGUUUAAUAUGAUUUGUUGGGUUAUAUGUGUUAUUGGUAUUGUUGUGGAUAAUUUGGGUUGUUGUCGGAUUGGGACGAAGUAAGGAAAUAGGGGAAGUGCUGUCGGAUUUUCGUUAGAUUAUUAGCUAGCUUACAAGAAAGUAAAGCGCGAUGUUUAUCUAAUUGCGGCACGAUUGUUGCUUGUUAUAGAUUAAUAGCUUGAGCAGUAAAUAUUGGACGUGCGGCUCGAUUAUACGGUAUGUAAUGCUGUCCCUUCUUUCUUUGUUUGGCAUGACUUUUUAAAAUAAGCGAAUAACGGACAGGUUUGAUACUUACCUCUAGAGCGUCUAGGUGACGUAUAUUCUUGCUUCCACAAUUAUUCCUCUAUAUAUCGGCUAUGUCUAAGGCUAUGAUGAUCUCUAAUAUCUAUGGUAGUGCUUCUUAGAGUCAUUGAGAUUUUACGUUUCCAUAUCGUAUUAAAGGUUAAUAAUCUUGAUAAAACAUUAAUCUUUGGUAAUACUCCUUGCUGGUUCACGUUGAUUGUUCUAUUGAGUUAUAAGAAAUGAUUUUAAUUGCAUAUGGUUGCUCAUAAUAUUCUGCUCGUGCAUAGAGUCAUUUAUCAUUUCACCGAGUCCCGGGCCGGGUAAUGUUCGUGCGGAGUUUCUUGCAUAUGUCACUGAGUUCCUCACUAGAGGGCCGGGUAUGUAUAUUAUAUAUAUGAUUGGUGAUGAGGAUGGUUAUGAUGAUGAUGAUGACGAAGAUGACGUGAUGAUUAUUUUGCCGAGUCCCUUACUAGGGAAGCUCGGCACCUUAUAUGUUAAAGAUAUGCAUGAUUUUCACUUAAAAGGGUACAUGUGUAGCGAUAUUUUGUUUCGACUUGCCAUAUUGGUAUCCUGUCAUCUUUACCUUAUGCUUUACAUACUCAGUACAUUGUCCGUACUGACCCCCCUUUCCUCGGGGGGCUGCGUUUCAUGCCCGCAGGUGUAGACGCACAGUUCGGUGAUCCUCCCGCCUAGGAUAUCUACUCUGCUGAUUGGGAGAGCUCCACUGUUCCGGAGCCCAGUCGUUUUGGUACAUAACUUUUGUGUAGUCUUUUGCUCGUCUAUGGGUAUGGCGGGGCCCUGUCCCGUCGAGUUUCACUAAUGUACUCUUAGAGGUCUGUGGACAUUAUGUGGGUUUUAUAUAUAUGUUUUGGAUAAUGGUCUGGACAUGGUUUGUUUGGGAUGUCCGCUUGUACAGGGCAGCCUUGUCGGCUGCGUACAUCAUUGUGUAUUGUGUAGUGGCAGCCUUGUCGGCUUACGUAUGUUAUUAUGCUUUGAAUAGUGGCGGCCUUGUCGGCUCGCGUAUGCUGUUAUGGUUGAAUGGUUAUGACUCCUUAUGAGACAGGUCCUCUUAUAUAUAUAUGACGUUGGGGUUGGCUUGAUUUGAUUAAAUUCCAUAUUGUCUUAGUUUCAGUUGGUUAUACUUAGCACGUUUGUUUGUGGGUGUCCAAAACGGGCACUAGUCACGGCCCAUCGGGUUGGGUCGUGACAAAGAGUGGUAUCUGAGCGGUUCUUCCUCGGAAGUGUCUACAGACCGUGUCUAGUAGAGUCUUGUUUAUCGAUGUGUUGUGCACCGCAUCUAUAAACAGGAAGCUACAGGACAUUUAGGAUGUCAUUCUUUCUUCUUAUUCUAGAUCGUGCGAUAGAGCUAUAUCAACAGGAUAAUCCCUCUCUAACGAAUCCGUGUGUUUUCAGCUAUGCCUCCAAAGAAAGCGACAGCCGCCCAGAACGGAAAAUCGGUAGCAGAAGGUACUAGUCAGACUCGGAGAGUUACUAGGGCCCGUGCCCAGUCUAUGCAUGGUAUUAUGCUCCAGUCAGAGAGCUCUGCUACGCCGCCACCGCCAGCGGAGCUUAGAUCAGCAGCAGCUCCAGUUCGGGGGACACCACCAGCCCCCGAAGCCCCAACACCUGAACCUCCAGCUCCUCAGUUAGGGGCGGAGGAUAGGGCCAUGAGAGAUGCAGUUCAAUUGCUGACUAGAUUAGUGGCAGAUCAGGCUCGCAGGCAUGGACUAGGAGUUGAUCAUGCGGACAGAUCUGAUAGCUUAAGGGCUCGUGACUUAUUAAGUUGUAAUCCUCCAGAGUUCUUUGGGUCAAGGCCCCAGGAUGAUCCGCAAGAGUUUAUUCGUCAGAUGCAGCGUACAUUGAGGAUAAUCAAGGCUUCGGAGACCGAGUCUUUUGAGUUGGCUACGUAUCGUUUGCGGGAUGUAGCUAUUAAUUGGUAUGACUCUUGGGAGUUAUCUAGGGGUGAGGGUGCUCCUCCAGCGGUAUGGGAUGAAUUUGUGGAGGCUUUCCAGGGCCAGUUCCUGCCUCCAGAGAUGAAGAGAGCUAGAGUCGAUAGAUUCAUGCGUUUGAAGCAAAUGACAGGAGCAUUCGAGAGUAUAGCCUCGAGUUUGAUUCAUUGGCUAGGCAUGCGCCUACUAUUGUGGCUGAUGAGUUUCGAAGCGGGCAGUCUAAGCAGCAUGUUAGAUUUUCUUCCCAGCCAGCACAGAGUGCACCCCCACGUUUCAUGGGUAGGGGUUCGAUCGUAUGGGAUAUUCGGAAGUUGGUCAGAGCUCUAGGGCGUCCGGGUCACAGAAGGGCAGGGGUUUUAGCCAGUCGAGGCCACCUUUGCCUCGGUGUUCUCGUUGUGGUAAGUCCCAUCCUAGGGAAUGUCGUUGGGCAAAAGGUGCGUGUUUUUCUUGCGGCCAUCAGGGCCAUACUAUGAGGGAGUGUCACCUUAGAAGUUUUGUAGGUGGAAUGGCACAGCCUACAGGGUCCGUCGCUGGUUCAUCUUCUUCUGUGGCUAUGCGCCCAACGGGGCAGGGUAUUCAGGCGCCAACAGGCUGUGGUAAAGGACGUGGUGGAGUUUCCAGUUCUAGCGGUCCCUCAAACCGUAUAUAUGCUUUGACUAAUAGGCAAGAUCAGGAGGCGUCACCUAAUGUGAUCACAGGUAUAUUACCACUAUUCUCUCGAAGUGUGUAUGCAUUGAUAGACCCAGGUUCCACCUUAUCAUAUAUAUCUCCCUUUGUUACUAGUAGGAUCGGAAUAGAGUCUGAGUUGAUAGAACAUUUGAGGUAGCUACACCUGUAGGAGAUUGUGUCAUAUCUACGCGAGUAUAUAGGAAUUGUUUAGUAGUUAUAUAUAGUCGUAGUACCAUAGCAGAUCUGAUUGAGUUAAAUAUGAUUGAGUUUGAUAUUAUCAUGGGCAUGGAUUGGUUAGCUUCUUGUUAUGCUAAUGUUGAUUGUAGAGGAAAGAUAGUUCGAUUUCAAUUUCUAGGGGAACCGAUUAUAGAGGGAAAGGGAAGUACAGUAUCGCCGAAAGGUAAGUUCAUUUCAUACCUCAAGGCCAGGAAGAUGGUUAGAAAAGGCAAUAUUUACCAUCUGAUUCGGGUGCAUGACAUAAAGGAAGAGGCACCGACUCUUCAAUCAAUCCCGGUAGUUAAUGAAAUUCCCGAUGUAUUCCCCGAGAAACUUCCAGGCCUUCCUCCAGAACUGGAGAUAGAGUUUACUAUAGAUGUACUUCCAGAUAGCCAGCCUAUAUCUAUACCUCCUUAUAGAAUGGCACCUGCUGAGUUGAAAGAAUUGAAAGAGCAAUUGAAGGAUUUUCUAGAAAAGGGCUUCAUCAGGCCUAGUACGUCACCUUGGGGAGCACCGGUACUGUUUGUGAGGAAGAAAGAUGGGUCGUUGCGGAUGUGCAUUGAUUAUAGGCAGUUAAACAAAGUAACAAUAAAACUAAGGUAUCCCCUCCAAAGGAUUGACGAUCUAUUUGACCAGUUGCAGGGGGCAAAGUGUUUUUCAAUGAUAGACUUGCGGUCAGGUUAUCAUCAGGUGCGGGUAAGGGAGGCAGAUAUUCCAAAGACGGCAUUCUGGACCCGAUAUGGGCAUUAUGAGUUUAGAGUGCUGUCUUUUGGGCUGACUAAUGCUCCAGCGGUGUUCAUGGGUUUACUGAAUCGAGUAUUUAAACCAUUCCUUGAUUUGUUUGUUAUUGUAUUUAUAGACGAUAUUCUGGUCUAUUCACGUUCAGAAGAGGUGCAUGCAGACCAUUUAAGAACGGUACUUAGGGUGCUUCAGCACCAUAAGUUGUAUGCUAAAUUUUCUAAGUGCGAGUUCUGGUUGACUUCAGUGGCAUUCUUGGGGCAUAUUAUUGGAGCUGAUGGUAUUCGGGUAGACACGAAGAAGAUUGAGGCGGUAAAGACUCGGCCCAGACCUACGACACCUACUGAGGUACGUAGCUUUCUGGGGUUUGCAGGAUAUUACAGAAGAUUCUUAGAAAAGUUUUUCCUCAAUUUCAGCGCCUUUUACAAGGCUAACUCAAAAGGCUGCCAAGUUCAAGUGGACUGAUGCUUGUGAGCAAAGCUUCCAGCUAUUGAAAGACAAAUUGACUACGGCUCCAAUCAUAACUCUUCCGGAGGGACCAGACGGCUAUGUUAUUUAUUGUGAUGCUUUGGGUGUUGGGCUAGGAUGUGUAUUGAUGCAGCAUGGCAAAGUUAUAGCCUAUGCCUCACGACAGCUUUGGAAGCAUGAAAAGAACUAUCGUACUCACGAUCUGGAGUUAGCGGUCGUUGUUCAUGCCUUGAAAAUAUGGAGAAAUUAUUUAUAUAGCGUCCAUGUGGACAUUUAUACAGAUCAUAAGAGUCUCCAAUAUAUCUUUAAACAGAAGGAGCUGAACUUACGACAGAGGUGGUGGUUAGAGUUGCUAAAGGAUUAUGAUGUUGAUAUUUUAUAUCAUCCAGGGAAAGAGAAUGUUGUAGCAGAUGCUCUUAGCCAUAAGUCCAUGGGUAGCUUGACAGAUGUACAACCAGAAAGGAGGGAUAUGGUUCGGGAGAUUCAACGGCUAUCCAGCCUUGGAGUCCGUCUAGCUAAUUUGGAAGAUAGUGGAGUUUCUAUUCGAGAGGUUGCCGAGUCCUCAAUCAUAGGUGAGGUAAAGAGAUAUCAAUACAAGGACCCUAUUCUGGCACAGUAUGGAGAUGCAGCUCUUCAAAAGGAAAAGACCCUAUUUAAGGUUACACCUGACGGAGUGUUACGAUAUAAAGGCAGAUUGUGUGUACCCGAUACAGCGGGGCUACGACGGCAGGUUAUGGGAAAGGCACACUCUGCACGUUAUUCUAUUCACCCAGGGUCAACAAAAAUGUAUCAUGACCUCAGAUGCUUAUAUUGGUGGGAUGGCAUGAAAAAGGACAUAGCGGAGUUUGUUGCUUAGUACCCAAAUUGUCAAUAAGUCAAGAUCGAACAUCAAAAGUCUGGUGGAUUAUUACAUGAGAUAGAGAUCCCGACUUGAAAAUGGGAGAUGAUUAAUAUGGACUUCAUUACAGGCUUACCUCUGACUCAACGGAAGUAUGACUCUAUAUGGGUUAUUGUAGAUAGGCUGACGAAAUCGGCCAAUUUUCUUCCAGUCAGGACUACUUAUUCGGCUGAAGAUUAUGCGAGGUUAUAUGUCAGGGAGAUAGUGAGACUUCAUGGGGUUCCCACGUCCAUUAUAUCAGACAGAGGAGCUCAAUUUAUAGCCAACUUUUGGAGAUCGUUUCAGAAGGGAUUGGGGACACGGGUAAACCUUAGCACAGCUUUUCACCCUCAAACUGAUGGGCAGGCUGAGCGUACUAUUCAGACACUAGAAGAUAUGUUGCGGUCCUGUAUUAUUGACUUCAAAGGUAGCUGGGAUGACCACUUGCCGCUCAUUGAGUUUGCCUAUAAUAAUAGCUACCAUUCUAGUAUCCAGAUGGCACUGUACGAGGCCUUAUAUGGGAGGAAGUUCAGAUCACCUAUUGGUUGGUUUGAUGUUAGCAAGACUAAGUUAUUAGGCUCGGAUAUGAUUCAGCAAGGUGUUGACAAGGUGAAGCUUAUUCAAGAAAGAUUAUUAGCAGCCCAGAGUCGACAGAAGUCAUAUGCAGAUAAUCGGCGUCGAGAUUUGGAGUUUCAGAUUAAUGACUAGGUAUUCCUGAAGGUAUCACCCAUGAGGGGUGUGAUGAGAUUUGGCAGGAAGGGGAAGCUCAGUCCGUAGGAUAGGAAAGGUUGCCUAUGAGUUAGAUCUACCAUCUGAUUUGGAGGCGGUACAUCCAGUCUUCCAUGUAUUGAUGCUACAUAAAUGUAUUGGUGAUCCUUCUAGAAUAUUCCCCGUAGAUGAUAUUCAGUUAACAGAGGAGUUGUCAUAUGAGGAGAAACCCGUGGCUAUACUUGAUCGUCAGGUUAGAAGGUUACGUACUAAGGAUGUGGUUUCCGUCAAAGUGUUGUGGCAAAAUAACAAUAGGGAUGAGAUGACUUGGAAAGCAGAAGACGAAAUGAAGAAUAAGUAUCCUUACUUGUUCCCCGUACCUGUAGGUAAUUCAAUUCCUAGCUUGACUAUAUUGAUAAAUAAUGAGAUUAUGUAGCUGUGAGGCAUCUGUAAGUUACGGAAUGCUGGUUGAUAGGUAUAACUUUUAGAGAGACCUCGCUGGAAUAUGUUUUUGCAAGACGCUAACUUAACAUUCGAGGACGAAUGUUCCUAAGGGGGGAAGGAUGUUAUGCCUCGUUUUUUUAUAUACGUAGUGUGCAUCGUGAUCUAGUAGACGUAAGUCCCGGGAAUGAGAUUUUAUUUUAAGUUCCAAGUGAUUAAAGAAAUAUAAGGCAAGGAUGUUAUUUCCAAAUGUGAUAUUAAAUAUGAGUUGGCUAAUGUAAGUGUCAUUAACUUUAAGUGAGGGAUUAAUUAAAGGCUAAUUUGGAUUGAUUUAAUCAAAUAGGCCCCACCACUCAUAAUUGGUGGCUGACUAGAAUUAAUUUAAUCCAGUGGGCCCCACCACUCAAGGCAAAAAUUAUAAAGGGAUCAAUUGUGAGCUGGCCUUAGUGGACAGGUGUAGAGGGGGGCUGCCUCCACUUCAUACUAUUAAAUGAGGUGGAGAAAUCCACUCCAUGCUAAAUAAAUUGGUGAAAUGCAUUGCUGCAUAUCAUCUUCUUCUUCACCACUUGUCUUAGGCAGCCAUUGAAAUGGAGAAACCAACCCUGCAACUCUUGGCCAGCAGCUGUAAAUAAUUUGGUUAGUAAUCUCCUUGUUUGGUGUGUCAGUUCUUUAAAAUACCUUUGUUAAUUAUCCAUUAAUUUUAAGAACGGGGCGUGACCAGUAGCUUAGGAAGUUUGUUUUAGUUAUUGAAUGUGCUAGCUUUGAACGGAAACCAUAAUCGGAUUAUUAGUGGUGUUGUGUUGGUGCUUGGGUUGUUUUGAUUAAAGCAAACUGCAGGAAAAUUCUAUUUUGGCAUUAGGUAUAUGUUGAAUGUGAUUAUGAGUAUAUAGUCCAAAGGAUGAAUACGAUAAGGUAGAUGUGUUGCGAAUUAUGAAACGAGUUAUCGCUCGGUGUGUUGUUGCUUCGCUUCUAUGGUUGCUGAGACGGAACUGUUUUGGGGAGGGGGCUGUUUAAUAUGAUUCGUUGGGUUUUAUGUGUUAUUGGUAUUGCUGUGGAUAAUUUGGGUUGUUGUCGGAUUGGGACGAAGUAAGGAAACUAGGGGAAGUGAUGCCGAAUUUUCGUUAGAUUAUUAGCUAGCUUACAAGAAAGUAAAGCUAUAUGUUUAUCUAAUUGCGGCACAAUUGUUGCUUGUUAUAGAUUAAUAGCUCGAGCAGUAAAUAUUGAACGUGCGGCUCGAUUAUACGGUAUGUGACGCUGUCCCUUCUUUCUUUGUUUGGCAUGACUUUUUAAAAUAAGCGAAUAACGGACAAGUUUGAUACUUACCUCUAGAGCGUCUAGGUGACGUAUAUUCUUGCUUCCACAAUUAUUCCUCUAUAUAUCGGCUAUGUCUAAGGCUAUGAUGAUCUCUAAUAUCUAUGGUAGUGCUUCUUAGAAUCAUUGUGAUUUUAAAUUUCCAUAUUGUAUUAAAGGUUCAUAAUCUUGAUAAAACAUUAAUCUUUGGUAACACUCCUUGCUGGUUCACGUUGAUUGUUCUAUUGAGUUAUAAGAAUUGAUUUUAAUUGCAUAUGGUUUCUCAUAAUAUUCUGCUCGUGCAUAGAGUCAUUUCUCAUUUCACUGAGUCCCGGGCCGAAUAAUGUUCGUGCGGAGUUUCUUGCAUAUGUCACCGAGUUCCUCAAUAGAGGGCCGGGUAUGUAUAUUAUAUAUAUGGUUGGUGAUGAGGAUUGUUAUGAUGAUGAUGAUGACGGAGAUGACGUGAUGAUUAUUUUGCCGAGUCCCUUACUAGGGAAGCUGGGCACCUUAUAUGUUAAAGAUAUGCAUGGUUAUCACUUAAAAAGGUGCAUGUGUAGCGAUAUUUUGUUUUGACUUGCCAUAUUGGUAUCCUGUCAUCUUUACCUUAUGCUUUACAUACUCAGUACAUUGUCGGUACUGACCCCCCUUUCCUCGGGGGGCUGCGUUUCAUGCCAGCAGGUGUAGACGCACAGUUCGGUGAUCCUCCCGCCUAGGAUAUCUACUCUGCUGAUUGGGAGAGCUCCACUGUUCCGGAGCCCAGUCGUUUUGGUACAUAACUUUUGUGUAGACUUUUGCUCGUCUAUGGGUAUGGCGGGGCCCUGUCCCGUCGAGUUUCACUGAUGUACUCUUAGAGGUCUGUGGACAUUAUGUGGGUUGUAUAUAUAUGUUUUGGAUAAUGGUGUGGACAUGGAUUGUUUGGGAUGUCCGCUUGUACAGGGGCAGCCUUUUCGGCUGCGUACAUCAUUGUGUAUUGUGUAGUGGCAGCCUUGUCGGCUUACGUAUGUUAUUAUGCUUGGAAUAGUGGCAGCCUUGUCAGCUCGCGUAUGCUGUUAUGGUUGAAUGGUUAUGAUUCUUUAUGAGAAAAAUCCUCUUAUAUAUAUAUAUAUGACGUUGGGGUUGGCUUGAUUUGAUUAAAUUCCAUAUUGUCGUAGUUUCAGUUGGUUAUACUUAGCAGGUUUGUAUAUGGGUGUCCAAAACGGGCACUAGUCACGGCCCAUUGGGUUGGGUCGUGAAAUAAUCUUUUGUAAUACUCCUUGCUGGUUCACGUUGAUUGUUCUAUUGAGUUAUAAGAAAUUAUUUUAAUUUCAUAUGGUUGCUCAUAAUAUUCUGCUCGUGCAUAGAGUCAUUUAUCAUUUCACCGAGUCCCGGGCCGGGUAAUGUUCGUGCGGAGUUUCUUGCAUAUGUCACCGAGUUCCUCACUAGAGGGCCGGGUAUGUAUAUUAUAUAUAUGAUUGGUGAUGAGGAUGUUUAUGAUGAUGAUGAUGAUGACGGAGAUGAUGUGAUGAUUAUUUUGUCGAGCCCUUUACUAGGGAAGCUGGGCACCUUAUAUGUUAAAGAUAUGCAUGAUUUUCACUUAAAAGGAUACAUGUGUAGCGAUAUUUUAUUUCGACUUGCCAUAUGGUAUCCUGUCAUCUUUACCUUAUGCUUUACAUACUCAGUACAUUGUCCGUACUGACCCCCUUUACUCGG
rnacentral:lncRNA from 1 species